rnacentral:lncRNA from 1 species
UAGUUUGGGCUCAUCAUAUGUUUACUGUGGGCUUAGACGUUGAUACGCGUGCCUACUUCACCGCAGCUACCAUGAUCAUAGCUGUGCCCACUGGAAUCAAAAUCUUUAGUUGGAUCGCUACCAUGUGGGGAGGUUCGAUACAAUACAAAACACCCAUGUUAUUUGCUGUAGGGUUCAUCUUUUUGUUCACCAUAGGAGGGCUCACUGGAAUAGUUCUAGCAAACUCUGGGCUAGACAUUGCUCUACAUGAUACUUAUUAUGUGGUUGCACAUUUCCAUUAUGUACUUUCUAUGGGAGCCGUUUUUGCUUUAUUUGCUGGAUUUUACUAUUGGGUGGGUAAAAUCUUUGGUCGGACAUAUCCUGAAACUUUAGGCCAAAUCCAUUUUUGGAUCACUUUUUUCGGGGUUAAUCUGACCUUCUUUCCCAUGCAUUUCUUAGGGCUUUCGGGUAUGCCACGUCGCAUUCCAGAUUAUCCAGAUGCUUACGCCGGAUGGAAUGCUCUGAGCAGUUUCGGUUCUUAUAUAUCCGUAGUUGGGAUUCGUCGUUUCUUCGUAGUUGUCGCAAUCACUUCAAGCAGUGGAAAGAACAAAAGAUGUGCGGAAAGUCCUUGGGCUGUUGAACAGAAUCCAACCACACUAGAAUGGUUGGUACAAAGCCCUCCAGCCUUUCAUACUUUUGGAGAACUUCCAACUAUCAAAGAAACGGAAAACAAAGGAAUAAAAUAAAAUAAAAUGAACACCCCACGGUGUUACGAAAAAUUUGUCUACUUUUUCUUAUUCUUCUUCUUCCAGGUGCGGGAAAUCAUCCGAAACGAAUGCCUUCGUUCGAUGAUCCAUGAGGGAUGGAAAUUUCGAAUUUCAUUAUUCAAAAGUGAGUAGAGGGUCCACAUUAAACAAAUCGGACUCACCAGAAUACUAGACUUCUGUGCUGGAGUGAAGAAGCCACUUCAGUACAGUUUCAGGGCAGUAAGGAACUCAGCACCGAAAGGAACUGGUCUAACAAAAGGGGCCGAGAACUACAUAUGGUCUGAGACUAACUUCCUUGAAAAGAGGAAGACAAGUUAUGUAGGCAGUAGCCGUUCAAGAAAUGCAGCGGUUGCUCGACCAAAGCCGGUCAAUAAGACAGAUCCGAAUGCCACAAUACCGGCUGUUCAAUUUGAGAAAGGCCCAUCUCCUGAUUGUGGACACUCAAAUCGAAUACUUUAGCAAUUGGUCUGACAGAACGGAUGGUAAGGUGGGGGACCCAUACCUUUAUUCUAUUCCCGUGCUUAGAGCGAGUGAAUGAAAAGCUACGCCUGCUGCUUGUGUUGAUUGAAAAGAAACCUGUCGGGAGACAGAUCGAUGUAGGCGCUCGUCCACUGUUGGCGGUGCUACACCAUAGAUUUGUACCUAGGAGCAAGAACCGUGGCUUCAGGAUCAGCUAAGGGUUAAUGGGGUUUCUGAUACCUUCUAUUAUUCGUUGAAGCAGGUUCUUUGACUCGGUAGGCACAGCUAGAAGUCACACGAGGUACGCCGGAUGAAAGUUUCCUUCUUUCCAUGAUGGAUCCGCUACUAAGAAAGUAAGAGAAAGAACUGGUCCAUAAAACCCCCUUUUUACCAGCACCGUAACAGACUGGAAUCGCAGGAACAACUGGUUCCAUGGAAGUAGAAAUGGCCCUCCUCCUAGAAUGCCAAGAGGAGCAAUGAAAGUAGUAUAUACUAAUUGUCAAUGGCCUGAUACGGUCACCCUAUGGCCACUUUAACAGGGACUGCCACUAGACAUAGGUAUUACUCCGGGGUUGUAAAGAGCAUUGGUCCAGUGCAAUAUACUAUAGCAUAUCCCCAGACUGGAGAGUACACCAUAUCAUCUAAAAAAAUAAGAUUUCGAGGAUCUACGCUAUGGGUACUAAUACUAUAGAUAAUCGGAAUCCUACACUCCCAUGAGGAAUGAAUGCGACACCCUAUAGAAAGAGUCCAGAUAGAACGAUUCUUUCUUACCUAAAGUCCCACUUGCUGACCUGCUUCCCUAAGGGAAUAGAGUGACGUGCACUGGCACUAGAUGAGCUUAAGAUUUUCAAUAUACUUGCUUAAGACUUUCUUAUACAAUUGGCACUCCAAGGGAAGAUCAAGGGAUAAGCACUCACUAUAAUCGGGGUGAGAUCUCGUAAGAGUUGGCACCCUCGCCGCUGGCUUACUAAAUGUAAGAGAACUUGCGGUGAAAAGGGUACUCCCAAUUGCUGUAACAGAACUCGCAGGUAGAAGAACGAACUUCCAAUGCAUCGAAGCUUUCUACUCCUGCUUGAAUACUUGCUCUUGCUCAAUGGCCGAAAGAGAACUUUAUUUAGUAAAGCACUUUUAAAAGCUUUCAAAAAUUGGCUAACUGGAUUGAUUUUCCCUUGUUGGGACUGGAGAGACUUGUGCAAUUGGAGGGGCACUUUCACCCACAGGCUCGUAAGGGGAAGGGACAAAUACCUUUACUUGGUCUAACAGUCCAAGAGCUCUCACGGUAAUUGGAUAGCUGGAAAGCUGGCUUGAACCAAGCCAAAAGGCGGUGUGUCAUCACCUUGAACCAAUGAAUUCUCAGAUUACUGGCAGUAAUUCGUUCAUUUCAAUGAAAGAGCAGGUAGCUAUAAGUUUCCCCACUCUAAUAGUAUUUUUGAGAUUCAAGCUUAUUUCCUUGAGGAUCGCAACCCGAAUCUUAGGAUAGUCUACUUUCUGAUAGUAUAGGAAUAGCAGUCACAGAGGGAGGAUCACAAAUAAGUGUAUUCUUACUAGAUGAGACAUCUUCUCUAUUCUUACUAGAAGAGACAUCUUCUGAAGAUUUCUUAAAAAAAUUCAAAAGAAUUUAUCGUUGGUCCUGUCUUCUUUCCAAAAAAAGUGAGGGGGCCCACCACACCACUUCCCUCGACCCCUUACCACGGGAGUCACUAAAGAUGAGACUGACCAUGAUAAGGGUAUGGGGCAUUGAUUGGCUUGGAGGAUUAAGGGGAAUAGAUUCGGGUAGUGGAGCCAACAUAUUAGGUCGGCCACUGAGAUUUUGCCCCUUUUUCUCCACCAGCGCAGGAGGGAUUGCAGCGGGAUUCAGAUGCCGCUCUUGACUGAGCCCGGGUUUAGGGGCUACCUGGGUUUGUGCCCAACCUGGGGGCGCCAAGCGCAAUUCGAGAUCGGGAUAGAGGGUUCUAGGGUAAAAGCAAUCCAUCCUUAUAGCAAGUCCUAGAGUUAAGUAAAAAAGACUUCUCGGGAGUUUGGGAGUGUGACUAUAACCAGUACUCUUGUAUAAUAUCCUCUCUCUAGUUAAAAUGAGUAUUACCUGCCUGCACAAUCAAUCUAUGGCGAUCUCGGUCUCACGCGCCAGUCCCUCUUGCUAAGCCUAAGUGUUAAGCAUAGCAUAUCUUAUAUUAACCCAUCUUAAAAGGACUUCCAGACAUUGAUUUUAGGAGAGUCAUUUUGUAGGGCCAUUCUUUUUCUCCUCGCGAGCCAGUACCCUUAUUAGGAAAGUAGGGACUUAUUUGAAGUUCAUAGAUAUAGUCUAUCAGGCUGGUCUCCGGGGUCGUUUCCCUAGCAGAGCUGGUUGGUUUCUGCAGAGAAACUAACAAGAUGCUGCAAUGGCAGAGGCCCACUGAACAUGUUUUCUGCAAGAGAUAUGGAUCGCCCUGUUGUCCCCAAUAAUUAACUCUCGCUGACCGCUCCCAUCCAGAUGUUCAUGACAGUUCUCGAUUGCGAAAGAAGCUGCUUCUAAGGAAUGAUGAAUCACCUAAGACUCCGACAACCGAAUCGCACAGAGUGCGAAAACCCGACUCACUUCAAACACCCGAUCACGGCAAAUUGGGUAAUAAAAACAGUCAAGAGGGCUGUCAACUUAAAUGAUUUUGAACCCCUCUCGGUCGAUCUUGACAUGGAUAGUCCACUGGGUCAUUGGCUAGAGAAGUACCGCCAAGCAAAGGGAGAGCAAUCCACGCGGCAUAAGAGUGAAGGUACGUUUGUUGGUAACACAACACAACGAAAGCAAUGAAUUAAAUGGGAUCAAUGCCUAGCAUAGUGGUCUAUUAAAAAUUCAAUUGACUUUGCUAUUUGUCUUUUUUGAACUAUGUUUCAUUCAUAUGAUAGAAUAUGGGUUUAAAUAAAUUGGAUCCUUGCUGAGUCUUCCCCGGAUAAAUACUUAUUUAUCCACAGAUAGCAAGUUUUAAUUAGUAUACAAAAUACUAAACAAAACCAAUGACUAUUCAUGAUUCCAUCCAUAUUGGAUCAAUUCCCUAUACCACUUUGAAAUGAAAUUAGAGGAAUGCUAUGGUAAAACUUCGUUUAAAACGAUGUGGUAGAAAGCAACGUGCGACUUGAAGGACAUGAUCGAUUGUGGAUUUUGCUAUCCAUCAUUUUCCAUAGUAAUGAAGAUGCUCUUGGCUCAACAUAGUUUGUUCUAUUCUUCCAAAACCGAAUUUGUGCUGGGUUCUUUGUAAGUAAAUAGUACAUGAUGGAGCUCGAGAGGACAGAAUUUCUUUUUAUCAAGGGAAAGAAUCAUGGAUCCUGAUGCUAAAUUAUGGGUUGAUACAAAAGGAUUCAAACAAGUGUGGCUAAUUGUUUUUUAUUCAAACAACAAAAGUAUAGCUGAUCUUUUCUCCUGCAAUGUAACUCUCAAAUAUGCAUGCUAGAAAGCUGAUAUGUUGCUGAGAGAGAGGUUAGUCAGAUUGAUUUCUUUUUCUUCCUUUUGCAAUUGAGCUAUUAAGGUGGGGAUGUGUAGGCGGUUCCUCCAUCGCUCGAAGGGCACUCGUAUGUCCAACGUUCCAUCCUCUUUCAAAUAGAAUAGCAAUCCCAGAACCUACAAAAGAUGAAGCACAUUUGUAGUUCUAAUUGAUCCAAUGCACAGUACUGGGGAAGAAAAGAAUGAGCUCAGAAAGAAAAGGUAAGUCCUUGACCGUAAUUCUUCCCAUAUAGAGAGAUAAAGAAGAUGCCUCUGUACAUAUUCUGGUACGUUAUUUGAAUCCUUUCGAUGCAGGAACCAUAGCUCAGACUGAUGAUCCCUCUCUCUCCUUAGGUCACCCAAGGUAGAAAAAAUGCCCCAAACAAAGCCGAGAGUUCGAUCCAAGUACUAACCCUCUAGUUGUGAUUUCUAAAGAUUGAAUUUCAACUUAGAGUAAAACUUAAUAGUUAACACUAAACCUAAGCAACUCUGACUUUUCCAUCAGCAACUACUUCCAAUGGCUAAGAGUAAGCUCGUCCGGACCACUCCUAUGGCCCUCUCGGCUGGACCUACUCCCACCCUAUCCGACUCCAAUCCUUAUCCAACUUCCACUCAAUCAUCUCCAUAAGAGUAGACUUAAUAGCUAUUGUUAGCCUCACUUUUGGAAAACUCACAGGAUUGCUAGCUUUUCAUAGAACCUGUUAUCAAAACUUUCAAACUUCUGCUUUCAAUAUGGAUAAGAGACUUGCUGCCCAGCCCUAGGAAGCUGCUAUAAAAAAGCUUGCAAAAACACUCUUGCUUGGGAAGGUAUGGUAAAGGUAAACUGUAUCUAUUUUUUUAUAUAAAAAAAGGAGUGCUAAAGGAGUCAUUCAGAAGUGAGUGAAGGGGCGCAGAAAAAAGCUCAUUUCUUUCAUUCAGGAAUGGACACUGGACCAGAAUGAAAUGUGGGAAUAUCGGGAUUGGCAGAUUUGUUAUAUUGAAAUAAGCCUCAACUCAACACGACUAGUGAAUUCAAAUUAUAGUCACUUGCGGAUUUCUUCAAAUUGUUGUAGUGCGGAUGAAAAGAAGUCCCUGUGAGCGGAGCUACAAAAGGAAGUUCAAGCUCAAGAAAUCCUCUCAAUAGGGAUUGGGCAAGCAAGCUGUUUGUUUAUUUGAUCUUACCCGGUUGUGAGACGGGACGUGAAGUCAACCAAGUACAUGUGUGUUCAUAGUGUCCCCGGCACCUUCCUCCUAGCUGAGUAUGGAUGCUGAAGUUCGCUGGAGUGUGGGGCGAGUGCGUGGUAGAUGGAACUCCUAUUUACCGCUUUACCGCAUUUCUUCUUGCACUUCCAACUUGAAGAGGAAGAAGCAUCUUCAAUAGAUAGGAAAAAGGAUCUUGACCUGAAGCCUUCGAGCAAAGAAAGGAAGAGUUGGUGAAGUCAGAGUUCCUUCCCUAGAUUCAUGGAAGGACUUUUUUUUUAAAAAGGUUUCAAAUUGAUCGAGAAAUGAAUGAUGAGUUGUUUAAGUUCCUGCUGAAUCCACUAUUAUCGAUGUAGGUAGAAAGGGCAUAAAGCCACGGCGCUAACACGCAUCCAUUUUCUUGCUAGAUGCUGACCAAUUGGUCAUGAACAUCGUAAGGCGUUGCUCUUCGCGAAUCCCUGCCGUAGUAUCAGCUACCCCUACUCGCUUAAAGCCCUUUACCGAAGAAGUUCUACUUUCCCUUUGACAUCUUGUAAGUCACAGCCUCCUUACCCAGCGAGUGAAUGAACGAGCCAAUAAACUGGUGAUCGGUCCAUUUACUAUUUAUUAUAGUCUAUGACGGAAGAUCGUCUCUUUGCACAUGAGAUGCGUACUUUGUGGUUGGCCAGGAUAAGCAAAGCCUACAUCAUCUAGGACUUGCCAUUGAAAAUCAACCUUUCUAUUCGGUCAUCAACAGCUCGGGUCCAUUUAGCUUCGGUGACCAGAUAGAUCCAUCAUCUUCGAGGAGGAGGAAACAUAAGUCCAAUACGCGUUAUGGAAGACUAGGGAUUGCUAAUCCGCCCACGCGGGAAGCCUUCUCCCUCUCAGGCUCAAGAGUCAAGAUAGCCCGCCCUAAACAAGAAGCAGCUUAUUCUUUCUACUAUGGCGGAUAAAGCAAACCAAAACGCGCAACGGCUUUCGCGCUAGUUGCUCAACCCGUUGCUUGUUCGGAAGAAUCCGCAAAUGAAUAUUCUUUAUUUCCUCUCGGGCAGGCCCUCUUUUUUCAUUCGAAUGUACAUCUUUUUCGGUAAAUGAUCAUCUACAACUGAAAGACUGACGUCUUCCUCUACUCGAUCCUUAGUGAAAAAUUAUCCCUCCACCUCAAUUUUUAUGAUCCUCAUAGCCUUUUUUAUUCGCGUCCUCCCCCUGGAUCUAUUCCUGCCGCGUCCACGUCCUCUGCCUCCAGCAACUAGAGUUGCAUCAUCUUGUUCAUUAUUGAGAAUAGGCCUCUUCUCACACCGUACCAGUUCUUUUUGCAGUUGAAUCUUCCCGUUCUGGCUUAUUGAGUGUAUAGAUUCUUUUUGAAAUGCAAUCUAUUCCCACGUCACUCUUCUCAUAACAUAUCCUGUUCUCCUAGUACACAGACACUAUUACCAAUCUUAUAGAAUAGAUUCCUGUGCCAUGCUUGCUUGCCUCACAUUCCUAAUGUAUUGUUGACAACGCUUGCAAUAGGGCGUAGUAGUGUUGCGCUGGGUCGUCUUGUUCGGAAGCUGAUUGAGAAGAUAUGCUGGCGAAAAUAGGAUGCGUAAACCUUGGACUCAUCAUAGCUAUGCUAUGGCUAUGUACUAGUUGACGAGCUUGCCUCCAGUACUUGAUAGAUGCCCAUGACUCUCUAUCUUCAAGUGAUCUUUGCCCAUAGGCGUAGUAGUUGUAGCGAAGCGGCAUAUAUCGUAGUUGUUCGGAUAGCAAGCUACCUGACGUGAUAAGGCUACUAGUGCCCUCUUCCUCUGCGUGUAGAAAAGGAAGAAAUAAAUCAAUCAAAUUACGAGAAGCUUCAUAAAGCGCUUCUUUAGGAGUUAAACUUCCAUUCGUCCAUAUUUCUAGAAAAAGUAUCUCGUGUUUUUCAUUUCCAUUCCCACAAGAAAAAAUACUAUAAUUCACAUUUCGAACAGGCAUGGAUACAGCAUCUAUAGGAUAACUUCCAUCUUGAGAGUUCUUUCUGAGUUCCGUAUGAUAUCCGCGAUCUCUCUUGAUCUGUAACUCAAUACAGAAAUCAAUGGGCUCUCUCAAGUUAGCUAUAGGUUGUGUCGUAUCAACGAUUUCUACGGAAGGCGGUAAGAUUAUAUCUUGAGCGGUUAUGUAUCUAGGACCUUUGACGCAAAUUGAUGCGUCUUUAACUCCAUAGAGAUUACUUCUCAAUACAAUUUCUUUCAAAUUUAGUAAAAUUUCUUGUAUGGAUUCUUCAAUACCUACUAUUGUAGAAUAUUCGUGUGGCACGUUCCCAAAUUUGGCGCGUGUGAUACAUGUUCCUUCUAUUUCUCCAAGUAAAGCUCUUCGCAAGGCAAUACCGACAGUAUCCGCUUGACCUUUUCUAAGCGGGAACAGAAUGAAACGACCAUAAUAAAGACGCUUACUAUCUACUCUUGAUUCAACACACUUCCACUCUAGUGUUUGGGUGGAUCCUGUUACCUCCUCUCGAACCAUAACAGACUAGUAUUAUUAUUUGAUCAUUGAAUCGUUUAUUUCUCUUGAAAGCGGUUUCACUUUUUUACAGACGUCUUUUUUUAGGGGGUCGACAUCCAUUAUGCGGCAUAGGUGUUACAUCGCGUAUACAACUUAACCGUACACCACUUUUAGCAAUGGCUCGUAAUGCGGCAUCUCUUCCGCUACCAGCACCUUUUACCAUAACUUCUGCUCGUUGCAAACCCACUGUACGAAUAGCAUCUACUGCUGUUCUUUGACCAGCAUAGGGUGAUGCUUUUCUUGAGCUUUUGAAUCCACAAGUACCUGCGGAGGACCAGAAAACCACCCGACCUUGUGGGUCUGUAACGGUUAUAAUGGUAUUGUUGAAACUGGCUUGAACAUGAAUAACCCCUUUUGUUAUUCUACGUGCACUCUUCCGUAAACUAAAACGGGCAUUCCUACGCAAACCAAUACGCACUUUCUUACGUGAACCUAUUUUUGGUAUAGCUUUGCUAAUCUUUGAUGGCCAUCUUGUAAAGGAAAAUCAAGUCUCAUGUUGCUCCUCUGAAAAUGCGUAUAGAAAUGGUGUGGUGGAGAAUGCGCGUUAGCGCAACGGCUUUCGCGCUAGUUGCUCAAAAAAUCGUAUAAAAAUCAAGCAAGAAAAUGGUUCUUGCAGGGCAGUGGGCGUGGGACUGUAAAUCCUCUUUCGUUCGCUGGGCCUGGGCCCUUUGGACUGUAAAUCCAAACGGAGUAAGUGGUUCGAUUCCACUCAUGAACGAGAGCGAGACUGAACGAAAGAAAAUGCAAGUGAAACGAGACGAGAAUCAAAGAUUGGGAACAUGCAUUUGAACCUUCCGAAACCGGUAUUGGACAGUGUUCAGUGACCCAAUAUCAAUAUAAUAUAUAGUACUAUAGUAAGUACUAAAGUGUUGUCCCUUUCGUCUAGCGGUUCAAGAUCUCGUCUUUUCAUGUCGAAGACACGGGUUCGAUUCCCGUAAGGGAUAGGUACUGAUUCCUGCCGGUCUGAUUGCUGAGUGGUUAGAAGAUCAGCUGCUAACCUAUUUUCAUUUCUAACUUACCACCUGUAUUUCCGGAAACGAAAACCGGAAAUGACAAUCCUUUCAACUGUCUGUACAAAAUUACUUUGUACGAAUGCACAUCUCGGCCGUCGGGUAGCUGCUCACCAUUUAAAAGUCUAUACCCGUGGUUCCAGAAAUGGAAUUGCUAUUCUCGAUUCAGACAAGACACUGAUUUGUUUACGAAGCGCUCUUCAUUUUAUAGGAUCUCUCAUUCGUAAAAAAGGCCAUUCCUUCUUUUUAAAGACUAAUCAUUUAUUUAUAUAUUUGAUAAUGGAAAAAAUGAUAUAUUCGAUAAUGGAAAAAAUGGGGAGCUGUAUCAAUGAUUCUCAAUGGAAGAUCGGGGCUUUUUUGACCAAUUCUUAUGCUAAUCCUAAGAAAUUCCGUUCAAGAAAGAAGAAAAUCCAUUUUGGGUUGAACCAACAACCUGAUUGUGUGGUUAUUCCGAAUCCAGAUAGAAAGUCAUCGGUCAUACUGGAAGCUAAUCGAUCACAAAUACCGAUUGCAUCCUUACUUGAUUCUACGAUCCCAUGGGAAUCCUAUAAAAGAAUCACUUAUCCCAUCCCAGCAAAUGAUACUAUACAGUUCAUAUAUCUAUUUCGUCAUUCGAUCACGAAAACAGUGAUUCUUGAACGGCCAAGAAUAACAGCAAUUCAGGGGGCUGGAGCACGAGCUUUUAGUACGGCAGGGUCUGGGGGUAGGAAGCACUACGCCUCUGCCUCUGGGAAUAAGUAUAAAUACAAGGCUACCUUUAUCCAUUUAUUUUGGAUGAAAAUCCUCCUUCUCCUUCCCCGGGUUCCACUAGGAUUAUUAUGUUUAUUUUGCCGGAUACCCACGAGCAUACUAAGUCUUUUUUUUUUCAUACUAAGUCUUUUUUUUUGUGUGGAAUCCGCAGCUGCUGCGACAGGGGGGGAUAUUGUAAUGGCUCAUCCGCCCGGGAGUUCGGGAUACACCACAAAUACACUGGUGGAUGCACUGAUGGACACGACGAGUGCUAGUGCUUCCUCCGGGGAGCCUUCUGUGAAUCAGCCGACGCCUGAAUUCCAUCCUGUUGAGCAGGAGGCACCGAUGGAUGCACUGAUGGACACGACGAGUGCUCGUGCUUCUUCCGGGGAGCCUUCCGUGAAUCAGCCGACGCCUGAAUUCCUUCCUGUCCAGCAGGAGGUCGAGCAACAGGCAUUGUUGACUGAAAUCCGCGAAGUUCUUCAGCAAGAAUACCGGAGGUACAUCAUCCGCUCUAGUCCCUGGAUGCGGAACACCGGGUAUCUGUAUUCACCGAAUAUAACAAGGGUAGCAGAAUUAAUGAUUAAAGAUUUAGAGUUAGACUUAAGUUCAAUUGAAGAAUUACAGCAAUUUCUCCAAGACAUUGGGGCAAAUCCCCAGCAAUUGAAUUCCGAAUUCUUUAAUUACUGGGGGAGGAGAGCUUAAUGAUUUCGAAGACUGGGGGAGCUAAAUGAUUUAGAAGAAAGAAUGGUUGGGAUGGGGGUCUCAUAGAUAGGUUGGGGACUUAAGUGAUUCAUUUGAAGAGCAGGAUUGGGUGGCCGACCGGCCCGCAGACGUAGGAAGGCUUUUCUCGCCGACUGAACUGUGUCACCAAAGUCGCGAUCAGAAAGGUUUCUAUCCGGACCAUGCAUCUGGAAAGCGCCGGUUCGAUUCCGGCUCGUGACAUGAAGAAGAAGUCCCAAACAGGGAUCAGAUGAGUUUGCACAGCGUUACUUUGUUGACGGAAAAUCAAAUUGUUCUUCCGGUUCAAUGAAGACUAUGCUUACUUUCUUUUCUCUUACCGGUCUGUGUUCUAUCAUGGACCUGUAUUCCGUUCCUCGAAUCGAGACUUUCUUUGUCGAGGAUCUCUGGUUUAGGGUACUCCAUCGAGUUUCAGUUUCUUCUUCUAAUGGCUGUGUCCGUCUAAGGUGGCUAUUUGAGCGAUUUAAGUAUCGCGGUUGUCUUGAGCUCUGGAUUGAUGGGCGGAAACCUGGGGCUGGUACCUUUCUGUUUAUUUUCAGCACUAGACUCCACAUCAGGAUAAGCUUCUUUCUAUUAAAGAAAUGUCGAUUUCCCUCUGUUUGAGUAGGCUCGCGAUAGAUUAUACGCAUGAGGUAGUAAAAGCGAGUUAUAAGCUCUUUUCUCUAAAGAAAGUAGGCUUCUAGCAAGGCCAACUCUAUCCUGCUCAAUCCCAUGCUUAUCAUUUUCACAGAUAUGAAUUCAAUGUCAUAUAUUAAUUGAAAUGGUUUUCUCCUCCGAAUUGACACCCAAAAGGGAUAUAUAUAGCCUUCUAGUACCUCAACCCAGAAAGCCUUACACACACUCUGAUGGGAAUUAACCUAGAGUUAUUUUUAUAGAUAUUACAUUUCUAGAUAUAGGCAAAUAUAGGUGUUAUCAAAUCCUAGAGGCAUAUGACCAGCCGCAUGCUAUUAGUAUAGGGUCAGCAAUACCUUGUGAGCCAUGGAUUAAUAAGAUUCUAGGGGCCCUAAAGGAUGGAUCAAGCAUUAUUGAAGGAAUAGCUCGCUUAACAACCCCCGGGGGAGAGUAUAGAUGAAUGCCUUAAGCAAGGGCGUCUAAGCGUGCAUGUACACAGUUUUUCAUGCCACAACACAUCGGUGAAACCGGAGAGAGCUGAAGAGAAGGGGAACCCCAGAGGCAUUGACCAUUUGGUACAGCCGCUAAUUCGGCAUUUGGUACUGUCACCAUUUCUCGAAAGGGAAAAAACAUACUUAACAAUUCGAUUGGCAGGACCAAGGGAUAGAUCGAUUGCAAUAUCAGUAUCAUACAAAUAGAAAUAGACAUGAGUACAUGAAUAAGGAAACGCAAAAGACACAGAGUAGGGCUAGUCAGAAGCGUCAAUGCAGACGCCAAUGGGUAAUCAGAUCCAUUCCACUCCACUUCUUCAGAUAGCAGUCGAUCCUGGAUCGUCCUCGCUUCCAAACUCCGUAAAUGAAUGAAACUCCUUCCCCGGUCCAUUGCUCGGGUGUGAUACAAAUACUUCUUUGAAGUUGUAGGAUGCGGGUCAUCGAUCUUCCUAUCGGUCCAGAGGCGCCAGCUUGGGAAAGAAAAAGUAAGAUUUGUUUGUCAUAUCACGACACGAUCGGAACUCACAUGUAACUCUACUUCUUGAGUAGGGGGAAAAGGACACCUAUCACGCGGUCAUGCCUUGAACGCAGUAAAGAAAUUAAUAAGCUUCGAAUAAUAGCUACGCGAGUCUCCAAUAGCGUCUUAAGCGUUGGUUUUCUUUGCUGGCAUCGUAAUGGAUUGGUGGUUCGUUGCCUCUAUUUUGAAUAGGGUACGGCAUACUUGCCUGAAUCCUGAAUCGCAUAGUUGUCUUUUAGCUUGAACCGCCUCCUGUGAUCUAAAACUACUGAUACCUUUAGCAGAAAGAAAAAAGAGAAAAUAGCAUUUAGCUUGGGAAAGGCUCUUUUUUUAGGUCUCUUUUCGUACUAGUUCUAUCCAGCUAUGAGCGAAAGUAGUCACUUUCUUCAAUCGCCGAGUUGCCUGAAUCUUCUCUCUCGGUUACUCAGUGGAGUGAUCUCUCUCUUAAAUUCCCAUAAGGAUAAGGAAAAGUAGACGGUUCGAAACCCGUGCUUAAAUCCUACUCAAGGCCCACUACGGGCUGCGAGCAAUUAACAAGUAGAGACAAGGAUGAGGAGAAAUGACGCAUAUACGGCCGGCCUGGGUCACUCAUGAUGUUGGUAGUUCAAGUGAAUUGUCGUAGUGUAAGGAAGAUUGAUUGGUUUUCAGAUUGCUACUUGGCUGGCAUAAGAAAGAAGGCGCCCCGGCAGGAAUUCUGUAAGCUUGACUUGCGCGCAGGCUACCACCAGAUACGAAUGGAAGCUCGCUACUAGUUGCGGGUCUAGGUGCUGUCCAGUGAAACGUUUCCUUAUUGCUCAGUCAACCGGGAAAGUGGGUGGAAAAACCCUUCGGGCAAGAUAAGAGUUGAUUCGAAAUUUCUCACCCUUUUCGGAAGAAAAUAAAGUGAAUUCAAUUAUCAGGGGUGUCCCUUCCUUCAACUGUUCUGAUUUCUCUACGAGUUUUGAUCGAGAAGAAGUCUUCACAGGGCUUCCACUACUGUAUUCUUAAAGCGGUACUUCGGCCGGAAAGAAAGCGGUUCUGGUCCGGUCGACUCCCGUGCAUGCUCCUCUGGGUCAGCACGAAAAGCAGUUGUUGCCUUGUCCGGAUAAGUGGGAAGGUGCAGACUUCCUUUGUACAGCUCUGUUAAAGAGCUUUGAAACCUCAGGGGGAUACGAUUAUUCAUCCCACAACCCAGCCCUAUUAGGAAGCGAUAGAAGUGGAAAGAUAGCUGGUUUCAGAUCGGCAUCCCAUCUCUGAACUUUUGCUUCCCCCUUACUUGGAAUGAUAAGUAGGUCCAUCCGUAAAUCCAGGGGCAUCGAAUUCUUUAUCCGUUGGCGCUAGUUUUGAACCAAAAGAACCGAACCGAAAGGCACUGAAAGUUGUUUCGUCAGAUCCACCUUCCGAACUUGAAACCGCUAAAUCGGAUUUUGAAAAAGGCACUGGCGUCCCCGAAGGGUCUAGUUGAUAAGAAGUAAUAAAAAUGGUUCGCUUGUGGAUAUCGGACCCAUGGAGCUCAUAAGAAAAGAGUAUGCUUUGAAAAAGCUCUUUUUGGGCUAGAUAAAAUAGAAACAGCAUACUUUGAAUGAGAAGUUGGCUAUUCUCGAGGCAGCCCCGCACUUAAAGUAGUUUGUGUUUGUUCUACGGAAUUCAAUAAAGCAUGAGUUCGGAGUUCCUAAGUUCGUAGAACCUAGUGGAAUGAAUCAAGCGAGAGUACCUAGACCUGUUGAUCAUAAAAGAAAAUCGCUAUUAUCGUAUAGAAAGUGAAGUUCAGUUCCAUGUCGGUAUCUUCGUCGGUAUCUUCCAGAAUUAAAGAAAGUAGGACUAUCUCCAGAUAAAGUUGUUAGAGCGAGGCAAGGAUGGAUUCGAGAAUGGUGAAGUUAUGGCAUUCUCUUUUACCUCAAGCGAUAGUUGUUUAUCCGCAUUGGAAAAACCAUGGAGAUACAAGCGGUCAAAGCAGAAAGGGUUUGAGCUUCGACCGUGUUAACUCUUCUUUUAGAGGAAGUCAGUCAAGUUAGAAUAGAAUAGAAUAGAAUAGAACUAGCCGACGCUUUCGGGAAGGAUAGGCCUCAAUUAGCAUUCUAUCGAGUCAUUUUUAGCAAUCUCGCAUUCAGCUGGUCUUGUUCUUGCACCUGGAAAAAGGUUAUGCAGGUCAAGCUCUGAGGAUGAAUACCGCUCUAUGGCAUUAGCACUUGCCGUUACAGUGUGGAUAGGCCUCAUCUUACGUGAUGUUGGUUUUCCCUUAUAAAAGCACAAGCUUCUAGAAGAUUAGGUAGAUGAGUACCGAGCGGAAGAAGAAACCUAUCACGGCGAAUUCCGUGGUUCAAGAUGUGGUUUCCUGUGCGUACCUUGAGCUGCUGGAGGAAGAGGACGGAUGGGAUGCCUGUAGAGAAGUGCGGUCAGAAACCAAACCCAUUGACUUCUUAUUGUUUUGUUCUUUCGGGUGAAGUCAGAUUCGUAAAACAAGGCAGCAGAUAAGCUAUGGCGAUACAUAACUCUCCUCAGUUUAGAAGACGGUAUCUUUCUCCCCUUAAACUUCAAGGAAGAGAAGGGCGAAGCAUAUACCAGUGUUUUGCCAACGGCACGAAGCGAAUCUUGCAAGCCAGCCUAGCCCUACGCCUAGAUUGAUAUUCACAAGAACUACUACGUACGGUAUUCACAAGAACAAUAAGUUGAGAGGAGGAGCAAUAAAACUGGACGAAAGCAGUGGGAAGAAAGCGAUGCCCGGGCGAUGGUAGUACGAAAAGCUCGACUCCUUUGGAUUCCGGAUUAGAAGUAGCUCCGGCUGCGGCUAGAAGGCAGUUAUCAUAAUUUGAGGAUGAUGGAUUUUUUAUUCACAAGCUAGAUCGUAUUAUAAAGGAACGAGGCCCAUCUAUAAUCUAUAGUAGGUGGGCCCCAGCUCUUCACGAGGGUCAGUGCGGCUUUAAAGCUCCUAAGUCGUCCACUAUACUAUACAAUAAAAGAAUCGAAGCCAGAGGAAACAAGUGAAGGUGGAUCAGCGAUUCCUGUUCAGGUGGUUCCAAAACUAGAAACUAUUCCUCUACUCGCUAUGCGAAAAAAACCUGAGAAAAUAAGUAUAGUCUAGAUCGUACUCAUGAAACUCAUAUAAGAACAAGGUAUGGAAAUUCAUCUUUACAGAUCGGAGGAAGAGUAGGUUAUUCAGCCCGAGACUCGAGAUGAUCGAUCUUGAAAUGAUAAGAGAAGGACCCACCCCUAUAAAUAAACUAUUCCAAUGACUUUGUUCGCUUCCCCUGAGGCAACGGCUGUACUCGGCACACAGACCUGGCUUAUGAGCAGGAUUUAUCAGCCAAGUGCGUAUGGUUGCUACCUGUAUUCUGAUAGGCCACUUAAUGACACUGGCUCCCAGUUAUUGACUUAUGAAGAAUGGCUUCUCGAUGGAAGAGAAACAAUAAUAGGAAAAUAGGAAGCUGCAAUCUGAACCGGCUAACUAGACAAAAGGAGAGAGAUUGGCUCAGUUCAGUAGGAAGCUUUCCUUUUCUCGCCUUAACUACUACUUCAAAGCGCCAGGCCUUAUCUAACUAAAUAAGGCUUGCCCAACUUUUUCACAUUGGGGGCUGGUAAAUACGGCUAUGAAGCCUCAUUGAAAGGAAGUAGGAAAUCAAGCAGAGGGCAUGAAAGCAACUCGACCGAAGGGGGAGGAAGUGUUGUAGCGAGCCAGAGAGCGCUAAAGGGUGCUAAGCAUAUCCAAUUGCUGUCCAGGGACCUCACCUCUACUCUUCAUCCCCUCCUGCCAGUGAAACAAGAAAUAGAGACGCAGAAGAUCGAUGAUCUAUCGAUCGAAAAGGAAUAUGCCUCGGUUAGCAAGGAUAAACCCUGAUUAGGAAUAUGCCUCACUCUGACUAGGGUUUUCCAAAGCCGUCAGUAGGAAUGAUAUGGACAAGGAGAUUCAGAUAAGUUGGGUGUCGGGUGCAGGCUAGUUGUAUGCUGGACCAGAUUUGGUAGUCGUAGCUUCCAGAAAAGUGUUACAUUUUAUUGAUGGAGGUAGGCCUUCCCCACUCGUGAUUGAUUUGCUCAUUCAUCCGGGAAGGAGGUACUCAAGGGUUAGGUAAGUUCUUGGCUUCUCCGGCUCACACUUGCCUGUGCUAGCAGCCGCUACCAUUUUGCAAUCAAUUCAAAGGCGAACUCUUUCUCGGUAUUGGAUAGAGGAGGGGCAGUAGUAAUCAUUGGAAUCACGGGAACGCACGACUCUCGGUGGAUUAGUUCCUCGAGGGAAAGCCGGGUAGUAGCUACCAUCCGUCAAUUCAAUCAAAGCAAGGACACAGGGCACAAAGCAUUUCCCGACCACGGAUAGGUACCAUGUGUUACCAUUCAUUUGUCACUUAUUUGAUUCUAUCUCAGAGGAAGAGUGUUCGUUCGGGCUAACGAAAGAUCUCAGAGGGACUCUUACUUCUACAAGAGCUUUUACACAAGUUAUCGACAUAUAGGAAUUCGACUACCUCAUCACUGUGUGAAGGAAAAGGUUCAGGAAGCUUGCCUCAACCUUAGCGUAUCUCGGCUAUGUCCCAAUCGUUAAAACUCUCGAUUUGAAUGAACUUUUACAAGCAACAAGAGUGCAAUUGGCAACUGCCUCAUAUCGUUCAUCUAAUGAUGUGGUAUACAACUAGAAAAUCAAAUCUUUACAUUGAUCAUAUCCAUGGCAUGGGUCGUAUCAGAACGAAGAAGGAAAAGAUUCAUUAGCAAAAGCACCCGAAGCAGAUGGAUCAACAUAACCACAAUUGACCCUGUUUUCCACCUACUAGCAGCAGGAGUAUUCAUUUAGUUCUGGAACACUUCCCAAAUCGAUAUACGAAGAAGGGCAAUCUCAGUAUUUAAGUAAGAGAUUUCUUAUAUGUAUGCUAAUCCAUGCAUCUGGAAUGAUACUUGCAUAGGAAAGAAAGGAGUGUGUUUAGCGAGUAAUAGGAGAAAGGAGUGUGUAUGGCUAGGUAAUAGAGAACAAUAAAGGAAUCAACACCUGCGUAUCGUUCCAUGGACAAGACUGGUAGUACUGUAUUCUUGACGAGCACUGCUCAUAUAUGUCGUAAGGGCCCAUGCAUUAUACCUAUGUACUUUCCCAUGCUUUAAUAUAAAUUUACUGCCCCAUUCUUUCUACGAUAGCUGGAACUAAUUCCUUAUCAACCAGUAGCUACCCGUUCACUUAGCCUACAAACUACUAGUCCAUAAGUAGGUAGCCCAUAUGGAAGAAAGGAGAGCUAGGCGAAAGCCACAAAGAAGUAAGUGAGCUAGGCAUUCCUGGUUGUCCACGUUGAAAGAAAGAAAUAGAUAGCUGGAAAAGACUAGCACUAUCCAACUAGUUGUUUCGUUCCUGCUGUCCAAACAGAGCUAACUAUUCGUUCCCGUAGCAAAAGGGGGAAUGUAGAAAGAAGUAGAUUGCUUUUCUUGCCAGGAACUACUAACUGACCUCUCAAAGCUUAACGAUAAGCACAGUACAGCCACAUGAUCAAACUUGAUCCUUGUUUAUUCCGAAAUUCUAUUUUUUUAAGCAAUUUGCCCUUCCCAAAACAACUAAUUUUUGAAGGCUAUGAAGGAUUGACAAGCCCUUACUUCAAUAUAUAUAUGCAACUUUCCCAGCUUAUAUACUUGGGGCUUCCGCUGCGCGCCUUUAUUUGACUUUUCCACGAAGACAACAAAUCCUACUAGAAAGGGACAAGUAAGUUGCCUCAGUCCUUUCGAUUAUUAGUAGGGGCUCGCAACACCGACAAGGAAUGAAGUCAACAGAGCAAGCGUUAGGGAUAGGAGCAGUGUCGCAAUACGAUAAUAGAAUGCGCUUUCUCAAAUAAAUAUCAUCUUCUUUGGUUUGGAUAUGCGAUUAGGAUUGUUCUUUCGGAAAGAAAAGAUACCUUUGCCCUGGAGGAUUGGACCUUUUUACAUUUACCUUCCCCAAAAAGGAGUACGAAUCGCUACGCUCUAGCUCGUAAAAGGGAUAGCUCUCCUAAAGGGGAUAGCGAUAGGUCUAGGAAUAGCAUUUCUCUAGCGUAGGAAGCAUAUUCCAUUCCCUGAUCUUUUGAUUGAUUUGAACGAUAAGGAACCGCACCUCCAAUAGGAGAGGAGCAGCUAAAUCUCUUCACGGAAGACCCGAACUGCCCUAGUGCUUAACCCGAAGCUAGGCGCCCGUCGCACAUUGCAUUGAUUUGGCCUAUAUAUGAAACUAACUUUUUUGCAAUUGGUGACCUUAGGGAAAAUGCAAUUUACUACUUUCCCAUAUAUAUAAAUAAAAUGAUCAAUCCUGUCCUCGGCUAUUCGAACUAGCUGGAUUUUCAAUAGGAAGCCGUUGUUGUUCCCAAAAGGGCUAGCGCUCGUACUCGUAUUGGUUUUAGGGAAGCCGGGCUUUGGAGAUUAGGAUUUCUUUUAAUUAGAUUUGUUUAUCGCUAGUGCUAGGAGUAGGAAUCGCUACGGAUAUCAUGCCGCUGUAGUUCCCUUGCCCAAUAAGGAGUAGGGAUUAGCCGUGUACCGAACCCGAAGCAAAGGAAAAAACCUCUUUCUCUUCGGCCCCAGAUGCAGACGAAUCCGAAUCAAACUAUAGAAUGUUCUUUGCCGAUGCUUUGAAUCCCGGGAACCGACAGGAAGCUUUGGAUGAAAGGAUAGGAAUAGCUCUUGCGCAAGGAAUAUCAAUAGCGUACGCGUACUAGUCCUGGGAAUAGAAAAUAUCUUACCCGUGAAGGGGAGGCAAAAGGGAAAGCUAGUAUUUUUAAAAAGGGUAUAGUAGCUGGUAUUCGGAUUUCGCAGUGCCGUAAAAGGAAACCGUUGUUGUUUUGUUUGCCCCAUAUGGGCAUAGGGGUAGCCGAGGAAAACCUUACCGUUGUACGAAAGGAUAUCUCGUAACGGAAGGAUUGAAACCAGAUAAAGUUACUGAAAUAACUACCUUUGCUAAUGUGCUUUGUCGAACAACCUUGACUAGCUUUCCAGCAUGCGCUACUACAGCCUACCUAGCCUCUUCCUCCUCUAUUCCAUUUCUAGUGCAAUAUCAGAAGGUAUCAAAUCCAGCGUAUCGAAAGCCCGGUCCGUAAUCCCUUCGCCCCGUCUUUGCUUCCCCUCGUGCGCUUCCAUAUAAAUUCCCAUUUCAUCUACCAGUUGAACUGAUUCGAUCACUGUCCCAUAAGCAGUAGGGACCACGAGUGAGCUUAUUUCGUGAUCGGCUAGUAGAUCCUCAUUUCUUCUUCUUUGCAAAGGUCUACUGGGUAGAAUAGAUCCAAUUGAUGGCGACACAUAAGAACCCCUUAAUUCACCUACCCCUUCUCACUUCUGGUUCAUCAAGAUAGGGGACAGAGGAAAUCCUCUAGGAAUACCAACGCAAUGAACAAUCAUUGCCCCUUUUUUGCAAAUAUGGGCGUUUUCCGGAGAUAGGAGAUAAGAGGGAUAAGGUCAUCCCCCUUUAUCCCAGUAGCGUUCUACAGCGCUUUAACAAGAGACAGUGGUUCACGCGGUCUGCCCGCACUUGACCACAUCACACUGGACUAAGUAAUCCAUCUCUUUCCAAGUCUGUUGUGAGGAUCGAGAACACUUACGCUGUCUUUCCUCUCAAUUAGACCAAUCAGAAAGAUUCCCUAUCUUAUGUCAUUGGCUGGAGAAGAUUGAUAGAUAGGCUAUCAGUGCACUCUUCUGGGUGGGACCAGAACUACUCGUUCUCGCACCCCAGCGCUAUGCUCCAGGCGCAUCUUGGCACUCAAUUGGAAUGAGUCCGAAGAACACUUGCCCCCCUCACCGGCUUUGUCAGAUCUGUCUUUCGGCUGGACAGCUUCCGCUGCUACUUGGAUAUUGACUCCGACGCUUGUUCCUAGAUAUAAAAAGAAGUAGGGCACCUAAUAUGAGAUACGAGUCAAGGAUUGAGACCACUAGUGAGAAGGCAAAGAAAUCGUUUUUAUGUAUCGGAAGGGAAAGAAGAACCAUCCAUUGGCAAGCACCCACUCAACUAGAUGCUAAACAAGGAAUUGCAUUUUCUUGUUUAGCGUACCUAGCACUCCACAACCCAUUAGUUGGAAGGCAAUCACCAACUUAGCACACUAGAGCAUACAACGACCUUUAGCAACCUUUUCUCGAGCGAGACUCUAGUAGGUCAAGCCUGCCGUAGUUGGGCAAGCCAACAGGGCGGGAAUAUUAUAUGUAAUACACUACAGUAGGGCAAGCCAAAGUAGUCAAACAGUAGGCUGUAUAGCAGGCUGUGGGCAGGCGCUAAGCGGUAUAGCAGUAAGGUCAAGCGGCAGCCUUGAAGUUCAACACGAAUUUCCAUCCAGUCGAAGAAUUACCUUUCCUUUACUUAUCCAGUCGACGAAUUACUUACUAUAAGAUCGUUAGAGAUGCUUAUCCAUGUCUAUCCAUAGCGAUCAUGUUUGCCGAAGAUAUGAGGUAUCUUUCUUCUCCAGCUACUAUCUAGUUUCUUCUCCUGCUACUCUAAAAUAAAUCACUUAUCUACAGAAAUUACUUAUUAUAAGCUACAUGAAUAAAUAACUUAUUCGAAUAUUUCCCGAGUGUUUAAUCAAUCCCCAGGCUACUUUUCCCAUAAGGAUCAGAUGAGACCUGUAUGUCUUGCUUUGUACUUAGUGCUCGCAGUGGCUCUGGAAUUUCAGCUAGACCUUGAGCUUUCCUUCUUUGAGCAUGCUUUCCUUCUUCGCUUUUCACAUAAAAGACGGGGUCUUACCAGCCGUUGGACACGUACUCCUGCUACCAAAGCUAGAUAGGAAAGUGAAGAUAUGAUCCAACUACUCGAUAAAAUGGAUUUUCUAGAAUUAUGCUAUGCUUAUUCCCACUCUGACUAUUCCACCUCCUGUUCUCAAUGUCAUAGUAAGAAUUUUACCUGACAUCAGAUAAGCAUCACGCUUGCUUCGUUAGACCGUACGGAACCCAAGCAAGAGAGAAAUCUCCCCGUUGUUCGAUCGUACUAAAGUACUGCUGCUGCCGAAGACUCUCUCUUGUCAGAGAAGAGGGUGUGUAACUAAAUCAAUGACUCACCUUAUAUAUCAUAAUGGGCUACCUCGUCUCAAUAGGUUAAAAUCAAGGUCUCGCCCCUUCCCUCUAUCCUAAGAUUAUCGUAGUGGUUGAUGAGAUGAGAAACGAAGUGAGGUCAAGGAAACGUGAUUCCAGGUACGCCCGUUCCUCUACAUCGUUUGACUAUCAAAGUCAGGUCAAAUGUAGGUGAGUGUUGCUUCUCAGAAAACGCGUAGAAUAGUCUCAUUGGCCCUCGUCAAUGGGACAAACGCGGAAGUGUAUGCGUUACUGUACUGGGAAGCUAGCAUUUUGUCUUGUCAUGGAAGUUCGUGUUCGUGUUCGUGUUCGAAUGUUCUUGUUUUUCGUUGGAAAAACCAACGCCGACGUCAAGAUCAGUCUCCUUUCUCUUUUGUUUUGUGAGCAGAGCUGAAAAGAUGUUGUUACCCACCCGAUGUUGAAACGGAUUGCAAUUGAAGUUCUUCAUUUGAUUACUUGUGGGAUUUGUAAAAAGAAUCCUGCCUCCCCCCAGGAUUCGGAAAUGGAAGAUGAUGGCUAUUCCAUUUCUAAAAGGCGUCUCAAUAAAGAGGGGUUCCAGAAAUUUCUGGAAAAAGAAGAUAAGAAAAAGAGACGCUAGUUCUUCUUUUCUUACAUACUAUCUUUCCGCAUGAAAAAGACCAAUCAAAAACUUCUUCGUUUCGUUGGUAGAACCCACGCCAACUCUUUUCUCUAAAAAAUAGAGAGAUCUUUUGAUAGUCUCACUUCUAUCAAUGCAAUGAAAGAACUAUCCCUUCCUAUUUGUUUGUCCUAAUGAGACAAAGAAGAGCCUCCUUCUUUACCACUUUAGGGGAUGGGGGUGAAGGGGGGUUUACAUACAACCGGGGCAAAGUGGUUUAUGAUUGAAUCUCAGAGGCAUUCUUAUCAUUUGGUAGAUCCAAGUCCAUGGCCUAUUUCGGGUUCACUCGGAGCUUUGGCAACCACUGUAGGAGGUGUGAUGUACAUGCACUCAUUUCAAGGGGGUGCAACACUUCUCAGUUUGGGCCUAAUAUUUCUCCUUUAUACCAUGUUCGUAUGGUGGCGGGAUGUUCUACGUGAAUCCACGUUGGAAGGGCAUCAUACAAAAGCUGUACAAUUAGGACCUCGAUAUGGUUCUAUUCUCUUCAUAGUCUCGGAGGUUAUGUUCCUUUUUGCUUUUUUUUGGGCUUCUUCUCAUUCUUCUUUGGCACCUACGGUAGAGAUCGGAGGUAUUUGGCCCCCAAAAGGGAUUGGGGUCUUAGAUCCUUGGGAAAUCCCUCUUCUUAAUACCCCUAUUCUCCCUUCAUCCGGAGCUGCCGUAACUUGGGCUCAUCAUGCUAUACUCGCGGGGAAGGAAAAACGAGCAGUUUACGCUUUAGUAGCAACCGUUUCACUGGCUCUAGUAUCCACUGGCUUUCAAGGAAUGGAAUAUUACCAAGCACCCUCCACUAUUUCGGAUAGUAUUUAUGGUUCUACCUUUUUCUUAGCAACUGGCUUUCAUGGUUUUCAUGUGAUUAUAGGUACUCUUUUCUUGAUCGUAUGUGGUAUUCGCCAAUAUCUUGGUCAUCUGACCAAGAAGCAUCACGUUGGCUUUGAAGCAGCUGCAUGGUACUGGCAUUUUGUAGACGUGGUUCGGUUAUUCCCAUUUGUCUCUAUCUAUUGGUGGGGAGGUAUAUGAAAGAAGGGAACGAAUAAGUGGAUUGAGGAAUGAAAGCUCGAAGACAAAGAGAACUUCUCAGGGUAACUGGAUCACCCCGGCAGCGUGGUUUCUCUGACGAGCAGGAAGCCACAAAAAGCAUUGUGCUCUUGUAACUGAUCUUUUAGUAGGCGAAGUUGCCGAAUUCUGAAAUCACUACAGGCACUGUGCAGGAAAUUGUCGGUCCUAAAAACAAUGUGUCCCCAUGAUCAUUUUACAUCACGAUAUCUUUUUCUUCUGGUUAUGCGUUUUCCUCUUAACUUUUUUUUUAUUUAUUUGAUGGAAUCGUCCGGGCAGAAACUGUCAAAUGCGAUUCUUUUUAAGAUGAUUUUCCGGUUGAUCCGAUCUAUUUUCCCGGCUUCUCACCUUACCUUACUACUCUACUGGAUUGGAUUCCAUUUGAUGGGUAGGGCUGGCAAAUAUUCCAUGUAAAGGUGGGAGGGGCGCCGGGAUCCUGUAGUAGGAAUCCCCCCGUCAUGAUCGACUAAAAGGAGAAGUCUCAAUGAGAUAUUGGUUCAAAUCCAAUUCAUGACGAGUUCAGAAGGACUCUCUAAGAGAAAAAAGAAAAAACUGUUAGACCGAAACUCUUUUAGGAAAGAAAAAUCAAUCCAUAUACCAUAUACAAAUGGAUGAUACAUAUAUCAUAAAGAAGGAAUAUGGAGCGGGUAGUAGGAAUCGAACCCGUAACCCCAAGGUUAUGAGCCUUGCGAGCUGACCUAACUGCUCUAGUCCGCAUGCCUACCUUUCAGGGAAGGAGGAAGUACUAGAAGAGCCAGAAGCUAGGGGUGUUUGAGCUGUCUUCUUCCUUGGGGAGAACUAUCAUCCUAUCCGAAUCUCUUUCUCUCUUUUUGGGAGCUAGUUUAAUGGCUGCUCGACCAAGCCAGCCGUAGCCAACCUUCCGCCGAGAUCGAGAUUUCAGGCGUGAUGGUAGGCGUGACCAGCGGUAUGAAAACCGCGAAUCCCGAGCUUCCUCUUCUCGUUUUGAUGAUGCACAAAUCAUUAUGACGAUUUUUAUCGGUUUGGAGACCAUAUAUCCAAGCCUGAAGCGAUCAAAUGCAGUUAAACCGGUCCCUGGGGAUGCUGUUCCAGGAAGAGCUACAGUUGAAGGAGAUGCUGCUGAAAGUUCACCUGUUUCAGUUUCAGUUGGAGUACUAGCCCCAAGGGAAGGAGCAGAGGUAUCAGAUAUGUAAAUCUACCUGUUGCUCCAACAUGUGAGGAGAUAAACCCGAAAAAAGAAAACCACGAGUGAUCCGACAUUAGUUCGAAACCAGCAAGCGUGUAGCGAGUGAGUAGAAUCCUUGGGCUCCGAAACAAGCGAGUUCAAACCCUACCCUAUUGUCUUCUUGACCAAUCAAGUCAAGCUUGAAAACUGCUUCUUCUCAACCAGGAUACGAGCCAAUGAACCUUCUAUUACAACCGGAAAGUGAGAGAAAACCAAAUUCUCAUACUAGAAGCGAUUCAAUUGUGAAUUCACAACAAGUAGUCUGCGAUCAAUAGUUCAUCGAGACAAUGCCUAGUCAACAGUUUCGAGACCAAAGUGCACUAAAGCUGUGGAAUGUGUUGCAGAUGUUCAGUAGAGUAAUCUUUUUUAUAGAGGAAUCCCUAGGUGGAAUUUGUGAUGUAAUUAAUGCUCUCUAACUAACUCAAUUUCCAGUCAUGUGCCAGUGAUUUGCCAGGCCGGGGCCCGUUGGAAAGUAUGCAUUAGAUAGCUAGGGCUACUAGGGCUAAGAGGAAUAGCUUUUGAUCAGUUGCCAAGUUAUAGAGUUAGAGAAAUUUUACCUAAUUGCACACAAAAAGUUGCUCCCAAAAGAAGGAGCCUGUGGAAAUGAAAGGGAAUUGGUGAUGGAGUGUGCAACGUUCGCCAAGCACUGAAUAUAUGAAGUCAGCAGGGCCGGUAGUUCUUUCUUGGCUUGGAUUCCUUCGCUUCCGAAAGAGGUUCAUCACGAAUACCAUCAAUAUCAACCGGAGGAGAUCGUAUGCAAGAAGCUCUUUCCAACGACAAUUUUUCUUCGAAAGGAGUACCAGCGUGAACCUAGGUCGCUCAAGAGGUACUUUGUGUUAUACCUUAGACCUUACCAGAUCCAAUUGCUGUGCAAAGCUACUUAUAAAUAAGGGUUUCCUUUUUCCUUUUGUCGUACCUAAAUGUUUCACUCUCAAUCUUCCUCCAUUACUGAAAUGUCAACAUUAAGCACCAAGAAAAUGAAGAGACACUACAUAGAUAAGGAGGUAUUGAAUAAAGCAAGCCUUUCCUCUUUUGAACCUCGCCAUUAACGUUAAGGCUAUGCCAUCUUAAGGUGCUACUACUAAAUGGAAGGAUCUUAUCAACGUCCAUGAAUGCGAAAUCAUAGAUCGAACUGACGAAUUGGCAAAAUUCGGUGCUAUCAUAGUAUCCGCUAAGUUCACGGGCUGGAGAUAAGCGGACUCGAACCGCUGACAUCCGCCACAGGGUAAACCACCGCCUCUCAGGCCUCCCCGACGGGUUCUACCAUAGAGGACAACGAUAGACAAUAACUCCCCCCCGAACACAGCUUACAACUUUCAUCGUACUCUCCAAUUGUUGAGCAACUCUUCUCAAAAUCUCAAAACAAAAGGUGCUGAGUUGGAAUCCCAUUCUAAGGAUUCUUGUGGUUCCGGGGCGAUCCAGUCACCCGGAGAAGAUUUCUUUUCUUUGCUGAUUCCUCUCAAUGAAAUUUGCCAUGUUGCACUAAGUUACUUACGGAUGUAUGCAUGCAGUCCGGGAACACUUUGGGGUGAACACCCAUCCGAACAAGUAGGGUCAAUAGUUCAGCAUUUAGGCCGUAACAUUUAGCAAAAAACUAAUCUUAAACCCAACAAGUGCUCUCCGAACCAAGCUAGAUAGUCUCCUAUCACUAGGCUCACCAACCAACUUGGACUUUGAUUCUUUCUUAUUAUUCUAACCGGAUAUCAAAACCAUAAGGAUUGUUUCCAGCCAAGAGUUCCCAUAUGACAUAAGCGCUCUUGGGUGGGGUGGGCCCUCAUUCGCCAGGUCUUUGAGUGCCCGUCGUACCACGUGGUUGGUACACUAGGCUGAUCGAUACUUUACUUUGAGGAUCCGGCACCUGCGCCCGACUCGGUCUGCCAGUGAAUUUUGGCUCUACGUCCGGUCGUGCGUGGUAUGUUCGCGAUUCGUACAAAUGGAAGGCAUCGCGUACGUUAACCUUCCUUUAUUGGGCUGGGCCAUUCCAUCUUUGAGAAGGGGCCCAAUCUCGUAUUUGAUGGUCGGCGUGGCAAUAUGCUUAGCUUCGUAGACAGGUUUCCCAGCCGUUGCAAAGACUUCGCGAGAACGGUCAGGGGCGCGAUUCGCCAAGCUAGGGCAAACAAAGCCGUCCGGCCCUACCAGAUUAAGAAUGCGAAGGCCUUUCCUUCGAAAGGAGAAAAAAAAAGAGCUAUGCUAUUGACCGACCCUUUCGUACUUACUUCGAAUCAAUAGGCCUAUCAUUUUUCAUGAGGCGGGCCAAAUAGAGAAUGAAAUGCAAAAAUAGGGGAAGGGGGGAUGGUCGCGCCUUUGAUUUUGUUUAAGGGCUGCUCGCCUUACUAAAGUACCAAAGGCUUUCACGGCUGACACCCCUACCUUAGAAUCUAAGCCCUUUGAAGCGCCAGUAGUUGUAGCAGUGGGUAAGGCUUUCGUUCAACUCGCUCCGGGUUCCGAUCUAUAUGACCUCCAGACAGUACAAAGUACACCUCUUCCGUAGAGGCAAGCUGGUAGUAACCUAACCUUUUAGAGUCGGGGGAGCCGAGCCCUUAACUCUAUCAAUAGAUAAAUCUUCGUGCGUGGCGUGAGUUGGAAUCCUAGAAAAGAUCGAUUGAGACUCCCUCCCCGGUUCCACGAAGAUCUCUACGUACUUGUCUAGUCCAGGACAACUGAGAUCUUCCGGUCUGCGUGCGUGGGAGCAGCUGAAACAAAGAAGAGUCUGGUCCGCUCUUCAUUCAGGCCCCCCGCCUUACAAAUGGGCCGUCCCCCUUAAUGAAUCGAAUGGUCCUUCGACCCUCGUUUGAUUCCGACGGCCGGCAUAGAUGAAAUCUCAUGAGACCCGCCCACUAUUACUACAAAAAAAAAGCCCUGCCCUGGCACCUUCGCUAGACGGAGAGUAAGCGACUUCUAUUAGCACCGGACCGUCGAGUCGAAUUGAUCGUGUCAUGUGCAACGUCCAUCAAUGGUGGUUCAUUAAUGUCCAUAGAUUUAGACUCCUUCCCCCUUCCCUUAUACGCAAAAGAUCGAGAGGGGCCCGAACCAAACCGAGAACGUAAACAGAAUUCGGCUCACUCUCGUAUGGCUCGCCCUCGAGCCCUGGGCGAGUCGGCCGGGUCUUUCCCUUUUGUUCUGUUUCCGCCACGAUAAAGACGCACGGAAGAACUAUGGUAUGCCCAGCGCGUGGAGGAUCCGUUGAGAGUGUCCCUUGUCUCGGUAGGGAACAGUACCUAUUGUCUUGCAAAAUAAAGGUCAGUGCUACGGUCCCCUAUUGUUUGAUCCAAUAUUGACCGGUGCGGAUCACGUUCUACUACCUCCGGUCCGUGGUUCGACCUCCCGUAGUGGUCCUUGCUUUUCUUUUUGAAAGCUCCGCGGGGCCAAUUUUUCGUACUUGCUCAGUGUGCCCCCUUUCGUCGAGUGCCCCGCCCGGUUCACAGGGCUGUUGGCCUACCAAGCAAGCACUUGCCCACAGCUCCUGCCGCCUGCCAAGCGGGCUCCGCGCUCGUUAUCCUGACUGUUCUCUCCGCUGGGCCCUUUCCUAUUGCUCUAACCAUAAGCUAUGGCAAUUCCAGCUCGCACCCACUCUGGCCCGCCCAGCGAGGCCUGAGUGAGCUCAGUGGUCAGCCCCUGACGUUAGGGGUCUUUCGCUUUUGCCAGAUCUAUAGAGAUAUUACGAGUCCUCCGUCCCAGAUUCCCUCGCCGCGGCCAUCUGGUUCACCGGUACUACCAAAAAGUCUCAUGCUUACGUUACUGUGACUGAUAUAUAAGUAUGAUCUCGGACUACGAAGACCCAGUCGUGCUUCUGGUUUCCAUUCUCAUCAUCAUAUUGAAGGAAACUCCUCGUGCUCUGCCAUAAGAACUUGGAGUCCGUAUCAUGGUGAAGGUAAGGUAACGCUGUGAUUCUUGCUCAAAAAACUGACCGAACACGUUCGAGUUAUUGGCUCGUCCGACCCGGCAGCAUUCAUGAGUCGCUCGUUCAACUGUCCCUCGGAGACACGGUCGAGAAGUGCCAUGCAUGGUCGCCCCCCCCGUCCUUUCUUUCUCUCGGUCCCACCAGGGCGGGCCCCUCUGGGGUAAUAAAGAAAUGGAUAAAAAAAGGGGACUUCUGCUACGGGCUAUGCCACCCAUUACUUAUGAGGGAAGUCGCAUCCGUCCCAUCGCAAGCACCUACAAUGUUAUGAUCACAUUGGUUUACCCUUUUUUGGUAGUUCAACGGACGGUCGCCCCUCCAACAAGAAAAGGUAGAAAUAUGGAAACUUCUCUGCCAUUUAGAUCGGAGAAUUUAUAGAGGAAAUCGGGUUUUAAAUUUCCAGAAACCACACGAUUAUAUAGCCAAAGGGAAUACGCCGCGCCUAAAAUCAUCCCAAGCGCUGCUAAUGUGGCUACUAAGCUAUUUCUUUGGAAAGCUCCUACUAAGAUUAGAAAUUCCCCGAUAAAGCUGCUAGUGCCGGGUAAACUCAUAUUGGCUAAAGUGAAAAAGAAGAAAAUGGUAGAGAAAUUCGGCAUGGUGCUCACUAAACCUCCAUAAUAUCUAACAAGUCGAGUCUUAUGUCGGUCAUAUAGAACACCAACACAUAGAAAAAGGGCUGAAGAAACCAGUCCAUGACUUAACAUAAGUAAAAUGCUACCUCCAAUUCCCUGUAUGUUCGAUAGAGCCUAAUAUUCCCCCGGAGUACGCCGCUUACCCCCCGAACCGUACAAGAUAGUUACCACCUAUCAUACGGCUUUCUAACUCCAAUUCUUUUUCAGGUUGUUCCGCUCUGUCGGAUCGAUGGUAGUCUCAGAGAUCUGGUAACCUCCGAUAUUUUUGACAACACGCUUCCUGCUUCCGUUUUGAGUUGCGCAUCUUUCUCCCCGGGGCAUACUAUACUAUAGUAUCACAUCGUAGACCCCCACCCCAACUCUAUCUUCCUUAUCAGUGAACCGGAACAUAGUGCAUAGGUACUCUUCGAUGCUGCGAGGACGAGACGAGGUGACAUACUACGAUCACGCACUGAAGUUCUGCCCUUCGGCUCGGCAUAUGGAACCUCUCAACUGCUCCCUCGGGAUAGGUAGGCCCAUCCCCCACCCCCCUUUCCCGAGAGGCGGCCGGGCUGUGUUUCCCCAGCGGCCACCCAGUGGCGGCAGAAAACGAAAAAGGGUGGGCUCCGCGCAGUUCGCGUUUUAUUGUAAAGAGAGAGCUUUUCAUUCUCUUAUAGAAUAUAUAAGCCCGCGUCCACGCGGGUAAAGCCCAGCGAAGCUGCAGGGAGCACUGAGCAAUGAGGGGAUGAGGGCGACUCCGCCCACGGGUUGGACCACACCACAGGCAAAAGUCCUUCCACGGCAAGAGAAGGGUGACCGGAACAAGAAAAGGGAGCUAGUCGUUGGAGGGAAGACAAGGCUCGUUCCGUGCGACUCCACAGAAGAGUACGCGCGCUAGAAAAGGCAGCCAGCUUAGCUUAAAAACGCUAGCUAGCUACUUUUGUAGCCUUUUUUUGUUUGGUUGCCUACGCUUGCUCUCCGGGGCGCGCUACGGCAACACCCCCUGCUUGCUUCUUUCUGUUCGACGCGGAGCUCGCAGCCUCCCCACCCUUGCUUAGCGUUCCACUUGUGAUCCUGGAGGAUUUGGAGAAAUGCGCCCGACCAUGAAGAAUGGAUUUUAGCUUUUCUUUCAUGUGAACGGCCCUAUCUUGUAAAGAAUGGUUUUUCGUGCUAUAGACCACGUUGAGAAAGACCAACCAACAACACAAAUAAAGACCGUUCCAUUUUUGGGUACCUCGAAAGGGAGGUGCUCUUUAUGAUGCUACGGGCGGCUGUCCGAAGUGCAUGCAAUGACGGGCUCAGAUAGGAUAGGAUUGUGCGCGCCGGGCCCUUCGGGUGUCCAUAUUUUGGCCGACCUUAGCGUAGGCCCCUAUGUUAUGCGGCCGUAAUAUUUUUAUACCUUCCACCGCUGUUACGCCAGAAAUCCAAGGUUCCACACGAGCUCCUGUUCUGCGGCGUGGUGGCAGGACCGCUAGGGGAUUGGCUCCGGGUGUAGGUAGGGUCAAAUCCGCAGGGGUCAUGCAAAUACAUAGGCCCCUUCCCUUCUGCCGAGUUGUUUAGAAGGCGCUUUCCGUUCUACGGUCCCUCGGAGCGAAGGGUUAGGCAGGUAGUACGGGCCCUCUGACUUCCAGCUAUGUGCUGUGUGCGACUCCCGCGAAGCGAAUGAAGGGAAGCUCUUCGAGCUUUCUCCGCCAGCGGCUUAUGUAGUGGUCGGCAUUCCUACGUGCUCCGACUGAUCCCCACUGGAGAUUAUAUGAGGGGUCUUGGAAACUGUCGUGACGCUUUGGUGACGAAGGUCACCGGGGUGACUAUGGAAGGAUUCCGUGGUAGUCUCUGACUCCCUCCAACUCAAUCAAUAUCAAGAACAUGUCGUGAGCAUGGGGGUUUGGCCGACUACUAAACUCUAUACUAUUGGCUAGGGCUAGGCUAGUUAUAGCUUCUAUAGUGAGUGGCCCUUCCGCUUUGAUCUAGUUGUAGUUUGUAUUGUACUAAAUUGAACACAUAUCAAAGAAAGGCGAUCAAUCAAUAAGUAGUUGCCCUUCUCCGGCCCGGGAAAAGCAGCGAACUCGUUAAACUAGGGGCUUUUUUAUUCAUGGUCGCUACUGUUGUAUUGUAUAUUGUCGGGGGAAGCUACUGCUUCUACGACAGCUCCGCUUCCUCGUCUUGCUUCUACUUUGCUUGUUUGCGCGAAGGCUUAGAGUCCUUUUCGCUAGGUCCAAAUUCGUCAAAGCGAAAGAUCUGAUCCAACGGAAAUCCCGCAUAUUGAGCGCAGCUGAUAUGUGGCUACUAGGCGCGAUCAUCUCACAUGCCAUAAAAAAAAAUACUUCUUUUUUUUAUGGCCCGUCAUAUAAAGAUAGAAUAGAUAUGGAUAGAGAGACAUUCUAUUGAUUCGCGAAAUGGCUCGUCGAUCCAAAUGAAUCAUUCUUCUGGUCUCUCUCUGCCCCCCACCCCAAAACUGACCCACGACACAGCGCCCAUUCGUUUCGCGCGCGGGAAGGCAACGAAGUUCAGUUCAAAAGACCGCAGCGGAGUGGAGCAGCCGCGACACGAAGUUCCUUACCUUAGCUGGAUCUCGCUGGUGCCACCUAAACGGUAGGUAUAGGCGGCGGAUGUCUGACGUUUGGAGUUGUCGUUCGUGCACCUGUCCCCAAUAGAAGAAUGAGUGAUCCCUUCCCCUGCGGAUCAUGGCCUUACCACUAGGUCCCCGAUGGCCUGCGGGGGAUUCGGUAUAGCAGCUCACGUUCGUUUGCGCUGCGCGUUCCCGCUGGACUGGACACGUGUUAGCUGUAGGAAGUAUGGUUACGAAAGUCACUUCGGUUCGCCAGUUCAGGCUCAACUCCUCGCUUUACGUUAGCGGACUUACAGGUCGGGCCGGGGCUCCACGCUCUUUCUUUCUGUGUGGGACGAUGCCGGGGAAUGUGUCGAGGCGGCGAACAACAACAAGACAACUAACUACAUUUGCUUUUUCCCUCCAUGAGAUGAGCCAGUGCAUUGGACCGAUGGAUAAUAGAACUGAGCAGGCCAAAAAAGCGCUUGGGCGCUCUACAUACGAUGUAGACUCCAUCAGAUACAUAUCGAUUUAUUUAUGAUGGAUCCAGAAUAGAUAGAUAUCUUGUAUCAUCAAUAGAUAGAAAGAGGUCAACCCUUAUUAUUGAUAGAUUCCCUUUCGAUCUAUCAGAACAGAUCAGGCCAUCUAUCAAUCGAUUUGAAAGGUUCAUCUCGCUUUUCGUUCAUUUCAGCCACGCCAUAAUAUAAUAGCCGCCACAAUAAGAAAGAAGCAAGCGAAACAGCUAAAAGCGCUCGCUUCGCCGCGCCCAACUAUUCUUAUUCACGGGAAAGCCAACCGAAAGAUUCGAUUCGGACUUCGUAGAGCCGGUGCUGCUGCUGUCUGCGUAGGGCCGUCCCCCACUCCCGUCCCGGGGCGCUAAGGGGUUUUGUUUUAGGAACAGACGGCGGUGUUUUGCUGACGCCUCGAAUCGACGCUUUUGUUGCGACAUGCUAAGUUUUCUCCCCUAUUGCUAGUAGGUUGAUGGGUCGCACGCCCGGCACACAUGUUUUGGCCUUGCUUGUGUGUCCAUAACUCAAAAUAGGUGACCUAACGGCCGCCGCCCGACUAAACAUACCAAUAGUCACCAAAUUCAUAUGGGCUACUGAGGAGUAGGCAAUGAUCUUCUUAAGAUCGAUCUGUCUUAAAGUGGUCAAGGAAGUAUAUAUUAUAGCAAUCGCACUUAGAGUAUAAAUGAAAGGAGUGAAACAAAGUGUCGCUUCGGGAAACAUGGGUAUUGAAAAUCUUAAAAACCCGUAGGUUCCCAAUUUUAAAAGAAUUCCUGCCAAGAUGACGGAUCCAGCCGUAGGUGCCUCUACAUGGGCUUCGGGUAACCAAAUAUGAACUGGUACCAUAGGCACUUUGACGGCAAAAGAGGCGAAAAAGGCAAUCCAUAGAAGGAUUUGGCGCCGCUCACUAAAUUCUGUGGUUAAUAAAAUUUGUAAAUCGGUGGUUCCUGUUUGGAGAAGAAUCAACAGAAUAGCUAAUAGCAUAAAAACGGAUCCAAGUAAAGUAUAUAGGAAAAACUGAUAUGCUGCCUUGAUCUUUCUUUGUCUCGAACCCCAUACCCCUAUAAUGAUGGUAGAGUCAGGGGUGGCCCCAAAGCGAAAUUGACCGGUGGUGGUUGGUCGAAGCUCCAGUGGGUAGCCACUCCCUUCUCAGGGAACCGUACGUGAGACUUCCGCAUCAUACGGCUCCGUCCCGAGCUUCCGUCGUCGGCCCUUGUCAUUAGACCACUAUGCUUGUCUUUUCCGCCUUGACUCUCGAAUCUUUUGCUUCUCGGGUGGUGGCGAACAAUGCAGCUUGCGUUGCGGGAGAUGCCCGCCCGUCGGGCCCGGCCUGCUUCCUGCCCGAAGAAGGCUAGCCGGACUAGUGGUAGGGGACCCGACCGUAAAAAACCCUAUUCUCGAACCCUCUGCCGAGCUCUACCCUGCCCGCAUUUAUUUGGAAGGGGCCAAAGAAAUGUCUCCACCUGCUGCCAACAGUCUUUCUUCGGAAUUCUACUGAACGGGUCGAUCCUCCCCCCUCCGUUUGUUUUAGCAACUUAUCCUAAGGUCUCUUCGCCAAGAACUCUCCGGCAACGACAGAGGAACUAACCUGCCUGCUGUGGCGGGGCGGCUUUUUUUUUAAACAAUAAGACCUGGACGAUUAUCCCUACCCUCGGUAGCUUACGAGUUUACGUCCAUCCCUGGUCGGGUACAGUUUCCUUUAUUUUUAUCCCUUGUAGCCGUUACCCGAAUUCGCGCAAGUGUGUCCACACCCCCCCUGACUUGACGAGGAAUCCAUUCUCGCGAACAAACACACCCCCUACACACACCUAGGAGCACCCCUUCCUGCAUAUCCAUACAAGACCAGAGUAGGCGGGUCGAGGUCCUACGAGGUACCCACUACUCGGAGUACCCUCCCACCAAAAAAAGAUGUGUGGUUCGGUGGUUCGACCAGAAAUGCUAUGCUUACGCACAAGACUACCCCUCUUCCCGAAAGCUUCGCGGGGACCUUUACUACUUUACGACGACGGGGGACCGCCCGUAGGGGGUUUACUGCACAAGGCCCCUGCAGAGGAAAAGCUUGAUCCCAGCGAAUAGAAGAUGCUCAGCUCCGCACAACAUAGGGAUUGGCACGCUUUCGGAAAGAACAUAGAAUAGUAGAGGAUCCAGCAUGCAGGACACGGCGAUCAUUAGAAAUUCACGAAUUAGAAAUGCUGUAAUAUACUCUUUCCCAAAACUUCUCAUACCAGACCAACCCACUGAAAUGCAAAUAGGGAUCAGAAAUGUGGUCAAUAUCACGAAGAAUAAUGAAAGACCGUCUAUACCCAUAUACAAAUGGAUGUUUUCAUAAGGAAGCCAUCGAAGGCUUUCCACAAAUUGAGAAUUGGCCGUAGAAGGAUCGAAUUGUAUCCGAGGAACAGGGGGAUACAAAAAAGUAAUAAGAGAAACGCACAGACCAAUCAAUCGUAUCAGUCUUAUUGAAGAAUUUGGAAUGAAAAGAGGAGUAAUGCUUCCUAGCACGGGACAGAGAAUAGGACCACUUAGAUCGAAAUAGCAUUCACUGAAAUGUUCUAACAUAGAGUAGAAUCGAACAUUGAAAAGAUUAGUUGACAACAGUCAAUCAAAAGAUGGGGCGCCAAAUUACUAAACAAUAGGGGUCUUUCUGUGCAAGUCAGCUGAACACCGUAAUUGAUGAGUGAGUAGGUGGGUUAGGUGCACCCCUCGCCCAGUGGGAAGUCAUGAGGCUAGCCCCCCCUGAAUGAAGAAGUAGUGGGGCCCCCUGCCCGCCCACGUAUGCGCCUUUAUUUAGAUUCUAACUAAAUAUUAUACUGAACUUUAUCCGGGAAUCUUUCUAAAGAAUCCAUCUGGCAAAACGCAAUUUGUCGAUUUCCAUUUAAGGUACACCUUGCCUUUUUCAGGUAGCUUUGUUACGCCUAUUCAGCUAGGUGGGGCAUUGGUCAUAGCCGAAGUCUAAGGAAAAAAAUAAGGUAAUGAGAUGAUGGUGCCAUCAAGAAGUUUUCGACGAACGUAGUAGCGGCCAAAAAUGAAACUCUUGCAUGAAAGACCGGAUUUGACGCAAGAUGAAUGGCGUUGGGUCAAAUGAAACCCGCGAUCAGAAAGUCACCAACGGAGCCAUACAAUCUAUCUAGUAGUGUGCCAUGGCACGGUACUCCGCUUCGGCAGUGGAAGGAGCAACUGUCUAUUGCUUUUAUCUCAUCCAAGAUAGUGGAGAGUCUCCCCAAAAAAUAGAGAAGCCUGUAGUUGAGCACCUAUCUGAAGGCCCAAUCGGCAUCAGUAGUUGCACGCAACUCUAAAGAAGACGAUGACGGAAAAAAGGACGGCUCGAGAAAAGGUACCUCGAAUAUAUCUAAGAAUCCGAUGAACUGCUGCAAAGUGAACUGACCGGGGGGCAGCCAUGAAAGGCUGACUUUCUUAGGAAAAGCCAUCUGGGCAAGAGAUCGUCAGAUAAACCAAACUGCCGACCUACUGUCUGUACUGCGUCGGAUCAGAUAAUGGUGAGCCAUCAGUCGGACGGAGUUUAACGUAAAGCUCCAAGGGAGUGUCAACAGUCUUCUCAUCAUUGAGUUGAGCUCGAGUGAUCAAGUCAUGACGUUAUUUGAUCUGAGAUACCAAAUAUCCACGAGGAGAAUGUGCGACCUCCAAGCCAAGAAAAGGCUUAGGGCGCGUCAGCGCCUUCAUAGCAAAUAAUUGAUGAAGGCGACACUUGAUCAGCGAUAUGGUAACGGAGUAAUCACCAGUCAGUUUGAUAUCAUCAACAUACAACAACAGAAUAGCACGUCCUCGAGGAUAAACUGAUACGAACAUGGCCGAAUCAUGAUCACUCCGAGCAAACCCUGCCUGGAUAACCACUGUGCUGAACUUCAAAAACCGACGCUAUCGGGGCUUGUUGAGACCAUAGAUCGCUUUGCGUAAAGGACAGACAAGAGAAAGAAGAAGUCAGAAGGGCAGGUUCUCUUUCAUCCGUCUUUUCUAGGUGCGCAUCUCUAUCUACUAAAAGUAGGGGUGGUUGCCAUAGAUAGAUUGGGUCAUUCGUAACCUGAGCAAUAACCGAUGCUACUACAGCAAUAACGGAAAUAACCGAUGCUACAGCAGAAACUACAGCUAUACGUGGCGGCCCCACACGCAGCUUUGUUUAACAAGCAUCACCCUUCCUUUCUUUUCAAAUGCUUCCUCAGGCAAUCAGCAGCUUAUUCGAUUCCUAUUCUUAUUAAACAUCUGAUAUAGAUGGUGGGAACAAUGAAGCAGAUUCUUCAUCUGUAGGUUGCAAUCCGUAUGAUUUCUUCUCGAUCUCCUGCUUGUGUUUCACCUCGCACCUAAGCAUCACGUUCCUAGGGACAGAGACAUCUGCGCUCUAAGGCAAUCAUAGUACUGCCAGCAUGGUUACAUCGUUCUGCGGGCAAGCUUCAACUUAAAAGUCACCUGAUUUGGCACCAGCCAAAGGAGUAGGAACAGCUGCUGGGGAAGCACCAUUACCAUCUAUGGGAGGUUGAAUAGCUGCAUAACAUAAGUAGUAGUAGGAGCAUGGGCACUGGGAAAAGAUGAAAUCGAUCCAGCUCUGGUAACAAAGCAGUAGGCAAGCCGGGACCCUCCAUACCGCCCGAGACUUUUUCCCCUCGGAGCGCACCAUGGGAUGCUUUGUGAACAGCCCCCUCUGUUCAAUACCGAUACCUGUCAGAUUCCAUAGCUGAUGAAUCUCUUUCUUUUUCCACUCUUUCGCCGUCACGCAAGACGCUUUUCUGGCACAAACCUAGUAGUUAUUUGUCCUGCUGAUCUUGGGUGAACUGAUGACACUGAUGCUCCAAGACCAAGAGUUUUCACAGCCAAAGCUAUUGAAGCUGCUCCCUCCCAUGAAUCACUGCUUUCUGGACGCACUGCUUGAACACCAUGGAGCAAGAUAGAGCUCCUAUCCCAAUUGAUCGAGCUGAACCCACCCACCGCCUGUGCAAGAGCAAGAGCGUCAAGCUUGGCAUGAAAGGCAGUGACGUCAGAAACCUAUUUUCAAAGGUUACCAGACUUGGGGUUAGCUACACGGAGCAUCUCUUUCUUACCCUUCGGGCGGUCACAGGGAAGCUCUCUAAUAGAUCACUUAAGACAAAGGGAAUUAACUACCGCACAGGACUUAAACUUCAUAAUACUUCCCAUUUUCAGGAAGAAGAGCAUAAUGAACCCGGCAACUCUUUGAUCAGACUCGCAAGCGGAUACCUUCGUUCGGUCAUUUAGCACGAACUUCACUGCCGGUACAGGAAUGCUUUAUAUUUGGGUAAUGAAGACAAUGCACGCAGGGAUCUUUUUAGCCAAAUGAUAGACCUCUAUAAGGAUCAAGUGGCUUCAGGAGCUCUAGUGAAUUCCCAGCAAGUUAUCCCAGAUAAAAGAAUCAUUAACAUUGGCUGGGCCAUCUUUCCAAGUUGUCAAACUUCAGUUAGAUGCUUACUCUUCGCCCUGUGCCUCUAGAGCUGCUGCCGGUGGUAUAGUCAGAGAUUGCCGUGGAGAUCAAAGGAUCUAUGUAUAACCUUGGUUCAAGGUCUGCCUUAUGUGCUGAAUUAUGGGCAGGGACUGAAACAGCUUUGGGAGCUAGGCUACCAAGAAAAGAAGUGUUUCAACAGCCUUUAAUACUUGAUUUUGGUUUGAUUGCUGCAAUGCAAGACAAACAAUUGCUUUAUCCCCUUUCUCCUUUGCCUCAAGCCUUCUUUUGUAUAUAUCGUUUACAAAAUCCUUGAAUGGUGAUACCCCUUGAAAGACAUAACUAACUUACAAGACUUCAAAUUUCAAGUAAACUAACGGAACAAGGAUUAGCUCGCUCCUUUCUCAAAGUCUAAGAGCUAGAAGGCGGGGUACAGCGGUUGCUUCCUGUAAGAUUUUCAUAGUCAUGGCCUCAUGGUCAAGCCAGAAAAGAAAGCUAAAGUCUAUAUCUUCUGUCCUCUCUAUUACUCGCCCCAGGUAUUGUAUUACACUCGUUGGGCUCAAGGUAGCAUUACUAAACCUAUAAAGAGCGGUAGGCUAUUCUAAGAGGCAUUUACUGUAAAAUAGAUAUCUCUUUGCUCUUCAGCCAGUAAGUCUGAAAGCAAGUCAGUUGUAGGCCAGACCUGUCAUCAGUAGUUCUACUUUUGUAGAUUGAAGCUUUUAUAAGGCAGGAAUGAGAGCUGCAAAGGAAGAGAUAAAGCAGCGAUUGCUCUUGCUCGACUCUUCAUGGCACGGUUGGCCGGGAAUGAGAACAAAAGGAGUAAGAAGAAACUGGCUAAGAUUCAAUUGACCUAUAUAGCAACCAGUUCAACUAAAGGAAGUAGCUUACGGGCUUAAGGCUGCUAGGGACUCUGGGGCGAGAAGAAGCUUUUCCCGCAUUCCUGUUGAUGCAGAGAUCAGACGAGAAGGCCCAUCUCUUUACUAGAAUCCGAUGUGAUAGAAGGAGCAGCUCUAGCUUAAGCCUAAGUUGAUCCUUACUUACUGUUCAAGAUGUCUACAACACAAUAAGGUAGGCGAAGCCACUAGUUUACUUGCUUGAAAAAGGCAACCUUAGCUGAUUCACAUUACCUCUUGUUAUUUCAAUCCUUCCAUGUCCAAUCCACCCAUCAAAGCAGCUACAAUGAGUAAGGAAGUUAGCAACACCACUUAACUCAUGCUUCUGUUCGACUAGUUGUUCCCGUAACUCUUAUUUCAUAAAUUCCCUCUUUAUCUGAUCCUUGAAAUCAAUUCCCUUCAUUCCUGUCAAUUCUUGACCAUCUGAUAGUUCGUAACAGCUGGGGAGAACAGUUCAUUCAUUGGUUAGCCUUCCAUUCAGGUCGCUUAGUUAGGUAUUUGAAUCAGCUGGAACGAUGUCUCGGAACUCUUCAAGGAGAGGCUCUGCGGGGACUUCGAGGUCUCCGUUUUGAGGUCUCUUUUACCAAUAAGGCAAAGACUACCCGAAACUAUUCUAAGGCUUCGUGAAGUUAGGUCUUUUUAAGGAAAAGGCUAUUCUCCGCAAGAACCGAUUUGGAUGUGUCUCCGAUUUUCAACGAACCAAGGAUCAUCUUAACUCUGUCUUUCUCAAAAGAAUAGGUAUUCAAACCCAUCAUGGACUACCUUUCUUUCGUACUGCCAAGGUUACAAUGGAGAUGUCAAUCUCUGGUUGAAAUGGUAAACCACAGAUGUAAAUCUCUGCCUAACUCAAAUAAAGUAGAAGGGGGAGCAUUAGCCUGAGGUGGUCACCAUGUGAUUCUAACCCUUCACUGUACACCAGGAUAUCGUCGAAGAAUACGAGUACAAACCUUCUCAGCAGUGGUUUGAAUACCAUGUUCAUCAAAUUGUUGAACGUGGCCGGUGCGUUGGUCAGACCAAAUGGCAUGACCUUGUAUUCGAAAUGGCCUUGGUGGGUCUUGAAUGCAGUCUUAUACACAUCCUUCUCUUCCAUCCUGAUCUGGUGGUAUCCCGAGGUCCAUUUUUGAGAUAAUGGUGGCACCACGCAAUUGGUCAAGGAGAUCAUCUAUCAGUGGAAUGGGAUACCGGCUCUUCACAGUUUGUGUAUUGAGAGCUCUAUAGUAGACACAGAGCCUCCAGCUCCCGUCCUUCUUCUUAACCAAGAGGAUAGGCGAUGCAUAGGGGCUAGUUGAGGAGCGAAGCCCUGCUGCAACAAUUCAUCCACUAUCUUUUCGAUUUCCCUUUGCUGGAAGUAGGAGUACCGAACCAGGUAUUCACUGGUUUUGCUUCUGACAUAACAAGGGAAGCAGAGCUUUCCUUUCGCCUCUUUUGUGUUCUUGUCAAUUGCACUUCUUGUGACACGCAAUUCUGGCAGUUGUACUUCUAGCACUGCUGUCACCAUAUCAUCUUUCUUCUUCAUGCAAGUUGUCCCCAACCCAAAUAGUACAGUACCCCCGGCGGCUACACAACUCUCUCAGCUCAUUCAAAGUCUUCCAUUCGCUCUCACUCUUCGGACUUUUUAGUGCCAUAGGUUUUCCUAAUGGGAGUGAGGAUAACAAGUUAUUCCACUCGAUUCCACUGAUCGAAAGAUCGGGAGGGAUUUCGCAAUGUGAGAAUGAAAUAUGCAAAAUUGAGUUCGUUGGUAAAUGAACGGCAUGGGUGUCCCAUCCCAGGUUUGCCACAAUUGUAGCAACCUCCUUUCUUUUUCUUCUACGGUUAUUUCAGAGUAAUCUAUUCCAACUUAGUUUGUUAAGUGUAGUUUUCCCUCAUGACACUAAUUGGGGUUACCAAUACAUUGACAGGUACAAGCACAUAAAAGUUUGCUACAAGAAACCAACGUUUUUGAACCCUCCACUUUCCUAUUUGAAAAAAGGAAUUGCUCUAUCCUUUAUUUAAUAGUCUCUAUGAUUUUCGAUGAAUGAGCCUGUGGUAUGCUUUUCCUUCGAAAGGAGUACCAGCAUAUCUUACGUCAAGGUUCAGUGGAGCAACCAUCCAGUGCGCGAAUCUCCAUACUAAUCCCUGGCGUAAGUUGACUCCGAUGCUCAGAAACUAGUUCGUAGAUUUCGCUUCAACAACUCGAUCUUUUAAGUCGCUACUCUCACACGGAAUCCCAAGUUCGGGGCCUUCGUUCUUGUGAAGACAUACCGCUUUGACAGUUGGGAGUCAACCAUCCUUUACCCGACCAAAUUGAAUAGCCUUUUACCACUCAGCCCAAUAAACCAGCUAAACCAACCCAACUAACGUAUUUACUUUACAACAGUUGUUAUCUUUCUCAAGAUUCUUUUUUAUACAACAAGCUUGCCCAGGGCUACCACAUGCACCAUCAACCACAUGAUCUGGGGACUAGUUUUGCACAUUUUUUAUUGUACCUUUGGCAAUAGGAAGUCUGAACCGACACCCCCUGUCCCUCGGUGUGAGUUGCAGCAACACUCUGGUGGAAGUUAUCCACCUAUCGAUGGUUAGAACCAGCUGAAGCCGAUUGAAGCGUUCUUGAUACAUUAUUGCACAUCUCAAGCACAAAUUGGAUUUCAUUGGGGAAACAUUGCUCCACUGAGGCGCUCCGCGGACGCUUUUUAUUUCACUUUUCUUCUAUGGACGUUGAGGCUGAAUUGCACAAAUCAUGAUAGAUAUUUAUUGGGCUGACUUUUGCAAAAUGGAGCGGGUACGAAGCAGAUAUGGAUAAGACUUGGAUCGGAUAAGGCUGCUUCGGAUAUUCUUCAGUUACCAGUACGAAUCGGAUAUUCCCAACAAAAGAUAUGGAUACCAGUAUGUUGCGGAUAGAAUGUAGGUGAGUCCCUUUGGAAAGCUGAAUAACUGAACUAAGUAGAAUUGAUUGCUAGGGAUUGUGUUCUCAAGGAUGGCUUUAGCAUUGAUCCAUAACAACCCUGGAUUCAGCUCAAUCAGAACAUAGAAGUAAGAAACAUCCGUAUGCUUUCCUGGAACAGAAGCAAUAGCUACGCGACUACAUCGGAAAGUCUUUGAAAUCAGUUGCAACGCGCUCUUUUCCUUGGUUGCAUCACCAUUUGGUCUUGACAAAGAGAUAAAGAAGAUACGCUUGGGGGUCUUUGACUUUCUCAUCCUGCGAACAUCCGGCUUUCCGAAUGGGGCAGGAAUUCCAUUUCCUACUAGGUUACGAAUUCCAUAAAAAAGAUGGGCCAAUAGGGGAAGAUUCCUUUGGCACUGGUGUGUUAAGCUAACAUUUGCUCGUGCGCUCUUGAGGUUUCUACUCCUGGCUAGAAAACAUGAGGUUUGUGUUGGUUCUACCAACGAAACAAAGAAUAGUAGGAGUGGCUCUUUCCUUGUACCCAGAGCCGAGGGAAGGCAUGAAAAAGAGGGAAUGAAUCGUGGAUGACCUUUACCAAUUUCAAAUAAGAAAAGCUUUUUUUUCGCUAUCUAGCGUGGAUAGCAUUUCCUUCCUAUUUCAGCUACCAAUCUAUCAAUAGUGUUUUCUUUCAAUGAAAGGUGUGCACUUCUUAUACCCAGAUAGUAUAAAUCAUAUGCUUGUAAAUUCCUUUAGUGAUAUGGCUUGUAAAUGCAUUGUGUAAUAAAUGAUUGGGCAACCCACUAUGUUCAACAAACAGCGUAGUAAUAUACAUAUAUAUUGUCUUAAUUAUGGAGUUACUGGUAUCAUAACUUUAGUAGCUAAAAAGCUAGCUAUCAAGAUUGCAAUGCCAACACUCGUAAAACGAUCUCUAUAAUUUGUAUCAUAAUUCAAGUUUGCUAGCUCUACGCUAAGUAUUUCAUUAAAGGGGCUCUGAUGCAUAAAUGUAGAUAUAACAGUCUUAACGAUGUCUUUUGUCAUUAAGUAAGAUACUUUCUUGUAUCCCUCUACUACAGCAAUCGGGUUCUUAAAUGGAUGAAUCCUUGGUGGCAAUAAAUCCUCUGGUGGUUGAUUAAUUUCACCAGGUAUAAACCUAUACCAAACAGUAACACCUACUCCCAUAAAAACAAGGAUAUUAAACACACCGUAGACUAAUUUUAUGAAAUUGAUAUCUUAUGUAAGAGUUCAAACUUGCACUAAAACGGAAUUGUAUGAUUUAUCUAUCAGAGAUUUAAUACCAUCUCCUAAAUGAGGAAGAAAUUCAUCUAUAUUGAUAUUUAUUUUAAACACACCAACCCUAAAGAAUCCCUUAUUCUUUUUAUCUUAAUAAAUUGAAAACUGAGAUUACUUUUUACUUUCCAUGGAAUCAGAGAUGGAUUUAUAUAGACAUCGUUCCAAGUUACUAUUUGAUUAGUUAUUUCGGAUUGUGAUGAUAAUAGGGCUAUAAGUAGGCCGUUUGCUAUUGCAAUAAGGGCUUUCCUUUUGACGGCUUGGCUUUCUGUCGCUCCUAUGUAGUGGUCUGACUAAGAUUUUCACACUUGUUGUGUCUAGGCUGCAAAGAUUUUCUCAUAAAACACUAACUGAAGUGUUAGAGGGAUUCACUUUCGAUAAGAAUCCAAAAGCAAGUUCCCUAUACUACCUUCUUUCCCUCCUCUGUUUCUGUCUUUAAGAGGCAGUGCAUCCGGCAGGAAUCGAACCUACUUUUUUACCCAUUUUGCCUUUCUAGGUUGGUGGGCGCUUUCACCAUUCAGCCAUGGAUGCUUUAGCGAGUGAACUAGGUUUUUAUUUGAGAGCGAACUAGGUUUUUAGUGGUAUUCCUUCUCGAGCUUCUAUUUCUUCCGUUAAGGGAGAUUCGGGAAAAGAUGGAAUAGGAAGACGUGUUUCCAGAACGAACAAGAUACGGGUAGAGAAGGGGAAGUUAGCAAAGUUAGACAAGAUUGGAAUGGGCAUAGGAACAUGUAUUGAUGUACCAGAUCGGCUAAUGCUCCCAGGUUGAUGCGAUGUAUUCCACCAGUUGACUGGAGACUUUAUUAUUGGUAUAUCGAUCGGUCCAGCACGGAUUGAAAUAGGAGCCGGUUCGACAGGAAGCUUUUGAAAACGCAGUGCACCCAGGUAAAUAAGGAACAAGAUGAAUACAGAAGUUAAACGAGCAUCCCACACCCGAAAGGUACCCCACAUAGGCCUUCCCCGAAACCCCCCAGUCACUAACGUAAACAAAGUAGAAAAAGCACCAAUUUCUGUACCGGUUCCGGAAGAGCGAAGAAAAAGGGGAUGUUUUGUUAAUGGGAACAAGGAACUGUUUAUAGCUGUCGCGAUAUAAAUAACUAUACUCAUCCGAGCCGCAGGAACAUGUACAUACGAAAUACGAGAAUUUCCACCUUGUUGAAGAUCUGGUGGUGCUACCCGAAGACUUAAAUGAAUAGCCAUCGCUGUUAAGAACAACCGAGAUCCAAUGAGAAUUUGCGCGUAGCUUUUUGUCUUUGACAUAAAAAAAUAAGGUUGUAAUAACGAAACUGACAUUUUAUUUUUCCUUGCCUUGCAAGUGGAACAAGAAAGACUAUACUAUAUAGUGAUUUUGAUUCUAUAAACAAUCAAAGGAUUUCGCAUGCUUUCCAUGGAAUGACGGAAUUCCCCUUGCUUAGUUUUCGCUCCGCUCGUGCGUGGCACUCCUUGCUUGCGGAGCGGCAUAUCGGAAAAAGAAGGAUUGACUUUCUAUACGGGCCCGUCCCCUCUUACCCCUAACUAACGAUUAUGCUGCUCUCGCCUUUUUGUAAUCUUCUCUUUAAAAAAUUCACUACUAAUUUUUACUACCUCCUUAGUCACCCUAUCCACUCUCGUCCUGUUUUCGGGUUCCCUUUCAGGGGAUGAGGAUAUUUCGAUGAUUUCUCCCUCCGUAGGUGGAAAACGCGUGGGUGAGUAGAGUCUGUGCUUUGCUUUGGGGGGCACCGGCAAGAAGCUUCUCGGCCACCCUACUCUGACUUGAUUAGCUACUUACUAGUAACUAGGAUCGUUCAAACAGUCAGUCAGCAAUGCGUACUUCUUUCCUAGUUGAGUGGAUCUGCGUAGCAGAGCCCAAUCUUCUACCACAAGCUCUGACCUGACUUGUUGUACUUGAUUCACCCACGUAAAUAGACAACUGGGAUAAGGGCUUUCAUCCCAUAAAAGAGAAGUGAGUCCGCAUGUCGGCAAAUGAUUUGGAAUUUAAACUGGCCACAGAGGAAACCGAAGCCCUAACUCCCCAUUCUUUCUAUCUUACAUCGCCAUCGAGCCCUGGCUGUAGAGUCACAGGUUUCUAAUCGCAAUGGAUUUCUGUUUUCUUUGGCUUUUCCAUUCGCUUCGUUCAACCCUGAUCUGGAUAGAUAGCUCGGCUUCUAUUAGCUGAGAAUGGUUUUGUCAAGGAAAGGUUUCGCUAUACAACAACAAUGAACUCACUUCUGAUCAAAUUGGAUGAAUCGGUAAUCUUUCUCUGUCUUGUGAGAGAGAGUCACUUGCUGUAUUGAGAGCGGGUGGGUGACAUGCAUUAAGCGAAAUCAGUUGUUAUGUUUUUGAUCUUCUUUGCGCGAGAAGAUCCUUGACUGAGGAGACGUGUUUGGCUUGGAUGAUGCCGCUAUGCUCCUAUUCACUUUCAGAGACCGCUCAGAGUUUGCCGGUUUUGCGGCAACCCUUUCACUAAGAACAUUUUCGCCAUUAACGAAAUGCCACUAUUCCACAAUGCUUCUUUGAUUUAUGUGUAGGAGCGGUAGUAGUGAAGAAAAUGGAGGGAGAAGAAAGAAAGCGAUGUGACACGAGAAUAGAUCACAUCCGACAGCCAGCCAUGCCAUUAGAUAGAUCCGCUCUGAGUCUUCCGCAGGAUGAGAUCCGCUUGGUCUUGUGAUAGGGGCUUGAGGAGGAAGAAGAGGGGAUUUCUGAAAAAAAGAAUGAAUCUCCUUAUUUAUAGGGAACAGGACGUGUGACUUCCUCAAACGAAACGAAUGUGGCUUUCGUGAUAAGGCAAAUCCUUCGUUCGGUACAAUCAACAUAUUGAAUCUACGCUCGCUCGGCUCGGUGCUGAAUGAACUCCUUCAUUGAUUCCGGGCUGCUCGUAGGGGGACUAUGAAAGCAAGCGUAGGAGAUCAAAAUGUGAGUCCGAUGGGUAAAAAAGGGAAGCAGGAAAGGGUUCUGAUGUGAAUUCUUCUUGUUUGUAUAUCUAUCUCAGCCCUUGCUUGAAAACCUAAAAAUUGACUUGCAUCUUCCCUUAUCACACUACACUUUCUCUUCCUUAUUCCAUUUAACUGAGCUAAGCAACACUUUUUCACGUAUUCACCCGAGAUAUUAGAGAAAUUGGUCAUAUUGAUCUGUCGUCUUGUUCUCGAUAGGAACUUGCUGCUGUCUUGGUUGGUUUGAGAGCAGGCACUGUCUAUAUAUCCAAAACCGGAGGAGGGUUUGGAUCGCAGACGAUCGGAGAUUUUGGAUUGAGAUGGAUGGUUGUGCUUGAAGUUACGAGUCGGGUAAUGCUAAGUUGAAUCGGCUGAUCCGUUUCAUCCUCUUUCGGCAAAGGAAGUUGGACUUUAGUUAGCUAAAAAAACUGUACCAGCAGCCUGUCUGUGCCCUUUGAGUCUAUAGCCGCCAAAUCUAAAGAUUCCUUAAGUUUUCGUACGGCUUCUUUUUUCAAUGAUCGGUGACAAUGAAUGCUACGAAUGUUCGCUUCCACUAAUGUCGUCUAAGAAUUGUGAGGUGCCCAUAGCUUCCCGGAAGAAGAAGAGUCAUUGUCGUUUCCUGACCGAUAUGGAUGCACAUAUUUACCCUCGCCUCGGGAAAUACCACCAGUAGAGUCUGCGGAAGGUGUCGUUCAGGAGAGAUGCUGGGCUCUAGAUAUGCGAGUGAGAUACCCGCCCUCGGUCAUGACCUGGGUUGAAGAAGGAAUCUAUGUUCUUGGAAGCAAAGAAAGAACUCCGGUAUUCCGACCUUAGAUUUUUGCUCUGUAGGGGCUACCCUAUGGGCUGUUAUCUCAAGGUCCUGGUUAGGCUCUUCUUGUUGUCUCUUAGAGGCUAAAAAGAAUUGUCUCUUGUGGGAGUGCCCGAUAAGGAUGAAGAGACCUGGUUAUUUGAAGCUUUAUAAUAAAAUAGUUAAAAGGUUACCUAGCCUAUGAUCCUCCAUAUCCUCCAGAGAUUGACUACGAGCCAUACCCAGCGGGAUACAUAUUGCCCAAAUUUCACCUAAAAGAUGGACCAAAAGAGCAUUUGGCGAGGUUCAUCGCUCAGCGUGGAGAUACUUCUGGAAACAAAAACUUGUUAUUUAGGUUUAACCCUCGUCGCUUACCCACAUAGCUUUCUCUUGGUAUACCUACCUCUGUGCCUCCUAAUUCCGUGAAGUCCUGGGAGCAUAUGUGCGAUUUAUUCAGGCGGAUUCCGACCUUCUAAAGAAAGAAGUCAGUCACUACUGACGACUUGAGGAAAUGCAUCCAGGAACCGACAGAGAAAGCCCAGGAGUUCAUUGCUCGAUUCAGACUCUUGGCGAUGCAAUGUUCGGAGCCUAUUCCCAUUAAAAAAAACAAGUCUCUAUUUGCCUAAAAGGAUUGCGUUAUGAAUUUAGAAUUCCUCUUGCUCCUGUCGGGAUAACGACAUUUGCGCAGUUAAUAGAACGAGCUUCAGAAUUGAAGGAUAUUAUUAAGGAGAAAGAGGUGAAAGCUAUCUCAUUCCCAAGAAUGGCUCAAACUAAGUCGUGACAGACGUUUCAAAAAAGUUUGUACCACAGUAGAUGAAGAAUAAGGGCAAAGAACAUAAAGAGCAAAAGAAGUACAAUUUCUAUCUCGUUCACACUGAAAAGUUGUUUGAAGUUCUUAUGUCCUUUGGAGCUCUCGAGUUGCCUGACUCCGAUUAAAAACCUUUUCCAGGUGCUGAAAACAAUUCCUGCUACUGUCAGUGUCACAGGAGGAUGGGUCACGGCACAGGCUAUUGUGGAACACUGCUUGAUAUUAUUCAAGAUUAGAUUGCUAAUUAAGAAUUAGACUAGUCCCCAGAAGGGUAAAAAAAAGAUCCAUUGCCGAAUCUGAAAGAGUACAGUCCAGAGACGGGCAAAGCUGUCCAAUUGAAUGAAGCAUAGUGCAUCUUUCAUUAAGUGAGAUUCCAAUUCCAUCUGUUACGGCUAGGAAGCGGAUGAGUGGCCGUAUUCGACCACCUCUUUAUCUUACGGCUAGUUCCUUGAGAUUCGGGAAAGUUUUCCAUUAGAUUAGGGGAAGGGAGAGAAAUUGUUUGUUUAUCUUCCCUUUUUUUGAACCAUUCUUCUUCUCGAUAGCCAGAUAGCAUAAGAAUAUUGUUACUAAGAAAGCAGCAAAUCCCUUCUUUCUACGAAGAAGCUAAAUAGACUUAAAAAAAAAAUUACCUUGCAACAGAAGUUUUUUUUAGUAGUCCACUUUGACUGAUAGAUCCCAGAUCUUCAAUUACCAGCCCCAAAAGUGCCACCCUAUUUUGGUAAAAUAAGAUAUGCGUAGCGCUUCAUAUGAACAUGCCUCUAUCAAUUGAGAGGCUCUAACUGAGCUCUUGAAUGCUCUUAGGCUACCGUAACGAUAAGAAUGAAUUCCGACGCGAGCAUUCCAUCUUACAGUAAUCCCUUCCUUUUUCCCUAUUGAUUAUCCGAUUUGAACCAACAAUUCAUCCUUAUGGAAAAGAAGGGAUGCUACUUUCCGUGUCGUGAUUACCCACCACUUGUCCUUGUACGCGGUAAAAGAUAUAGUAUGCUUUCUAUGAAAGCUCGUACUAAAUGGUUAAAGCACUUAACCGGCUUACCUUUUUAAGCUGCAUCGUACCGUGGGUCAAACUCUGUAUGUAGAUAGAGCCCCUAUGCUCCUAAUGUAGAGCUGGAACUACAACAGUUACCGUGGAAUCCGCGAUCACACAUGAGUUACAGUUGUUUUUCCGGUGAAGCUAGUACUUUAGUAUACCAUACUUUUUUUUUGUGUUGGAAACACCAUUGUCACACGGGUCUAAUAAGAAUAUUGACUGGCAGGUGAGCUAAAAGCCAACACCUGAGUCAGUCAGUCUUCCACUUCAGUUGCUGGUUGGGUAGGUCAAACCGCGAGUACGAGAUAACUCAGAGGCACUGUAAUACCAAUCGAUGUUGGUUGUCAGUCUUCGGCAUUGAUUUUCCUUGAGCGGAGGAAAUGGUGCUUUGUCGAUCCGAUUUCUCACUUCUUCUCUUACGAGAUUUCUAGUUUCAUGAAAAGAGCGCUCUUUCUAUCAACGCAGGGCUCAGACCUUUUUACAGCAGUUGAAUGGGUUUAGCUUAGAAUUGAAUCAUGCCCCCGCAAGAUUGGCUGGCCAUUGAGGACUUGUUCCGAUGAGUUUGAAAGUGCCGGCGAGGCACGGGCUUAGUAAGUGAAUCGGCAAGUUGGUCAGAAGUAUGAACAUGAGAAAUACGCAAUUUACCAGUAGCAACUUGAUCUCGAACGAAAUGGAAGUCAAUGGCAAUGCGCUUCAUACGAGAAUGGAACACGGGGUUGGCGCAAACAUAAGUGGCACUUACAUUGUCACAAUAGAUGACUGGAGUGGGUGAGAUUGGAACUUUCAGCUCUUGAAGAAGAUUCAUGAUCCAAUUGACUUCAGCGGCAGUGGAGGCAAUGGCCCGAUAUUCGGCUUCGGUGGAGGAUCGAGCAACUGUCUUUUGCUUUUUAUAACUCCAAGAGAUAGGAUUGGCUCCAAGGAAAACAACAUAAGCUGAAGUGGAAGUUCGAUCAUUAGGAUCACCGGCCCAAUCGGCAUCCGCAAAUGCGUGAAGAGUGCGAGGAGAAUUCUUACGGAGCAAGAGACCUUAGUCAAGAGUGCCAACUAGAUAUCGGAGGAGGCGUUUUACAGCACACCAAUGAAGUGUGGAUGGGCAAUGCAUGAACUGAGAGAGCUUGUUGAUGGCAAAGGAGACGUCAGGACGAGUCAAAGAGAGAUAUUGUAAGGACCCAAGAGCUUGACGGUAUAAUUUUGGAUCAGCCGGUGGCGAGCCAUCUGAUAAUUUAAGCACUUCAGUAGUAGCAAUAGGCGUUGAGACAGCCUUGGCAUCAGCCAUGUUAAGUCGAUGCAAGAGGUCACUGAUAUACUUCCUUUGAGAUAAGAACAAGCCAUUAGCAGUGUAGUGAGCUUCAACUCCAAGGAAAUAAGAAAGCUGGCUUUAUAGAGAAUCGUUUGGCAAGAGUAGAGAUAAAAGCAUUCACUUCAGCUGCUGCGGAUCCAGUGAUGAUUAUAUCAUCAACAUAAACUAGUAUAUAAAUAACCGAAAAUGGGGAGUUAAGUAUAAACAAUGAGGAAUGUGAGAUGCUGAAUCCUUCAGAUACUAAAAAGGUAAGGUACGAAGCUCGUUAUACCAAGCACGAGGGGCUUGCCGAAGGCCAUAAAUAGGCUUAUGCAACUUGCAAACAUAAUCAGGAGUCAAAAAGUCUUCAAACCCAGGUGGUUGUUCCAUGAAUACUUCAUCAGUUAAAGAACCCUGCAAGAACGCGUUAUUUACAUCGAGUUGGCGAAUAGGCCAACUAUUAGUCACAGCAAGAGUAAGCAAUUUACCUAGAUGCCAUUGACUUAUUAAUAUAAAAAAAAACAACAUAUGUUGAAUCUGACUCGAUCCAGAGGUAUUUCCAGCCCUUGGAGUGUGCUAUAGCGAUAGCCGUCAUAACCCCAACCCACUCUGCCUGAUAUGCGAAUCCGCUGCCCAACGAAAGCGCAAAGCAUCCAUGUACCUCUGCAGUUUCGAAAGAUUCCUCCGCAUGACGAUGGUCCUGGCUGACCUCUCGAGCAUCCAUCUGUAUUAACUUGAAUCCAUCCAGGAGGUGGAGGUUGCCAUAGAAUAGAGUGGAUCACCGGAGCUUUGCGUGGUUUCCCUUUAAGCCCCAACGCCCGAAGUCUAAGCAGAUCAGUCUGCGAAAGUGUGCUUCGAGCCGAUGACAGUUGAGCUUUCCAAGUUCUCACGUGCGGAUGGGAGGCGCGAAUGCUAUUUGCCAACUGGUGACCCUGCCCGAGCAGUUCAGAAAGUUCCUCUUCCGUCUUCUCACGAGCAGACAAAACUUGGGUCAACUUCUCUUACAAAGCCUUUUGCUCAGAAAGCAGACUUUGUUUUCGAGCCUCUAAUUCCAAUUUCCUGAGAUUUGGCAUUCUUCUCCCGGAUCCUCGCGAGAUGAUAGGGACUUAGCACGGCUCACGCACGUUGCUAUACAUCAAAAAAGCUUCUUCGUCUGUCUGUCAGCAGCGUAUACAAAGGCUGCAUGAUAAACCUAUCAUUAUCCAUCUCACGAACCCACCCUUGGGACGAACUCACUCCUGGUUCUCAAGCUUCCUGUUUCUAAAUCGAGGAAACAGAUACCAACCAAGUCGUAGACUUACCACUUGAGUAUGCUCAUACAGCCAAACCUUUUGAUUGCAAACAUUUGUAGUUAAAGCCAUACUGUAAUCACCCACCAACAAUACAGGACGGAAAAAAACAAACUUACUGCAUUUUCUUACCAGCAAAGCAAAAUGCGGCCCAAGCAGCGUAGGCUUGUGAAUCUUCUCAUCCGCCAUAAAGUCUUGCACACACUUACCAAUAGCAUAAACAGAGUUCAACAGGUUGUCACCAACAGACUGCCCCCAUGUAUACUCCCACAACCCUUCAAGAUCACCAACAUAAUCCCAGAAAAACAUUUGAACAACGUACCGGACGAAAGGUAAGUGCGAAGGGCGAAGUUGCGAAGGAAUAGUUGUUACUACUCUUAGUAUAGUACCCACGGUCCAUUUGAUCAUUUGCUGCGGUACCUUCAAUCGUCAUCUUCAGUUGAAAGAGUACACAUUAUAUUGAGUACCUCCCUAUCUUCGAUCUCUCUUGUAAGAAAUCCUACGCAUCCCUCCCUUGUCAGAAAAGAAAUAGGAAUAUGAGCCUGUACUCACUCACGCUGCCGGAGUACUUUUUUAGGGUAACGUAGUAAAAAUCCUUUAUUUCAGGGGAUUUGCCUUUUCUUUCAAAAUGAAUUUAUGCUUAGUCUAAAAUUGGUAAAUACCAAAUAAUAAUAAUAUAAAGAUAUAAUAUAUAUUAUUAUUAUUAUUAUUAUUAUAAAUAUGUACCAGUUUCCUGAAACUAACAAAUAGAGUUAUAGCUUUGAUUGACUUACUAGCUUACGGGAAUGCUUUGAAUCUCAACUUACUUUUUUAGAGGGGGGGAUUACUACUGCAUGGAAGGAUGGUAUACUGGAACGCAGGUGUUCUUACUCUUUCUCUGGUACCUGAUAAAAUAGAGUUGGCUGACUAUAACAUGGAAGGCCCCAAGCGUCGCCUUGAAAAUUAUGUGGAAGAGUUCCGGCUUGCUUGCAUUAGGAUCCAUCCCUCCAAGAAACCAUCAAUAUAUGAAGCAUAUGGCUCCUCUUUGUGUUUUUUUUUCUUGGGGAUGUUCGUGGGAUGAGAGCACGAUAUGAGCAUGCGAAUUUCUUCGAAUCUACCAUUGGAGAGAAAAUAAGGGGUUAUGUGGAUGGGGGUAGCCCCGGCUAUUAGACGCCAGAUUUCGUCUGGGUUCCAGGUGUGACUUGACUUGUAUCCGGUAGGUCAAGGAAGGGGGAUUUGGAGAUUCUUGAAAGAAUGUUUUGGCUUCUUCCUAUUACGCUUCAACACAGAAGAAGAUUGUUAAAAGGUGCUGGAAGGAGGAUAUAUUUUUCCAAUUGUUUCAAUUGCCCAACCUCGGAAUGGCCAAGGUUUAAUGAUUUCAUGUAAUUCUUCCGCUUACAGGUUUUUAAUCGGUCUGUAUCUUUGGCAAGCCUCACAUCCUCGGGCGUAUUUAUUGCAAUCUUUUUCCAUGUUUGGCCAAUAAAACCCAUAUCCGUGUAUCAGCCAUCUCAUUCUUCUGCCCGCUUGAUGUGCUCCAGCGAUUCUUUCAUGGACCUCAGCCAUUACCAAUAAAGCCCACCUUUACCUUCUCUUUCUAUUCUAUAAAAAGGCGAACAUCUAAUCUAGGCCCGGUCGCCUUUCUAUGAAGGCGAGCAGCCCAGCCCCCUUGUGGAAAUUUGGAUAUUAAGGAAGGGAAGCCGUAUUUCGCAAUAGCAGCUACGAGAAGCUGGGCUUAGGGUGCGCCUCCAGCGGUCGUUUCAGUGACUCAAUUGGCUGGCUUCCCUCAGCUCAGACUGGUGUCGCCACCUCUCCCAGGACCGGAAUGAUUAUCCCUGCCCGAUGGGUCUACAUUCAUCCCUGAAUGUCGUCGGGUACUCUUCACUUCCCCGCCAUUCUUGUAACCGUCACCUGUAAUCCGCGCAGGUGUGUCCGCACCCCCUGGAGUGGACGAGAAAGAAAGGAUUUUUUCUCGGAGCAACCCCCCUGGUUCCAGACCCAGGAGUUCACUUUCCCGUAUGAGCAUUCGGUACAUAUAUAAGUCAGUGGAAGAGUCAAAGGGUCACCACUACUGAGGAUCUCCCCCUUUAUCUUAGAAGGGUCGUCUGAGGGUUCGCCGCGGUUCAUUGCUGUGCUUACACACUAGGCUACCCUUCUCCGAAAGCUCCGCGGGACCACCUAUCACUAGUCUUCGGCCGGAGGGGUUUAUUGCACAAAAAGGCCGGGACGCAGGCUCCCGCAGAGGAAAGCCCAACGAAUGUCAGAUGCAAAGCCCCGCACCUCAUUAAGAUCAUAUUGGCAUACUCUCCCAAAAAAAAAAGAGCAGACCCCAUUGAAGACGGGAGUGAGGUACAACAAGGCCAUUUCCGUCCACCUUCUCACGGAGCCGUACGUGGACGUUACCGCUCAUACAGCUCCCAGCCAGCAAGCAGUUAGCUUUCCUCUAGAAGUCAUGGAAGUGUGGAUAAAUCGACAUCAAACUCUAGUCGACAGAAGGUUUUUCUUUUUUUCCCGCUCGCAGUAGUAGUCCCAAUAUUCCAAUAUUACAGCGUUAGCAGCGUUUUGUCUCGAUGAAAAAUAUUCUGGUGACCAUGAUGGAUAGGAUUUCUUCUCUAUCCUUUGGACUUGAACGAUCCAAUUUCUAAUCUUGUUGGAGAUUCUUUAUCUGGCUUUGACGUAUGGGGCCCUUUCGGCUGCUCCACACCCUUAACAGAACUUCCCCUGGCAAGGAGGAAAAGAAUGAGUACCCGCUUUUUCUCUUCCCUUUGGGCGGAAGCAGACUCCCCGACCUCCAUCUUUUAAUAGGGAAGAGUUUCAAUCAAAUCCUAAAUCGCCUUGGUCAAAAAGAAAGACGAGGUAUCUAUCGCGAUCCUUCCCUUUCUUGGCGGACUUUCAUACCCAAAAAGAAAAAGAAACUAGAUCGCCCUAACUGUGCUUUUUCUCUUAGCUCUUCCUGGCUCUGUCAACUCACUCUACUAAAUAUCAUAUCCGGGAAAGGUAGUCGCUUACUUUUCUUUUGAGAACGUAAACAUGAACGGAAGUAGCGUAGGACACCCACACUCGAAGAAAUGGAUCGAUAAGAACAAACCGAACCCACACAGACAGAGAGAUAUUGACUUUUUUCACAUCUGUAACUACAUUUGAACAUUUAUUUAUUUUUUGAAUUUAUCAUUUAAUUUAGGAUUCCCCCUCGGGGAAAUGGAAAAGUCCUUGAGGCUUGGCGGCCCCGGUCAUCAGAAUAUUAGCAAAACAAAUUGCAAAUUUUGCAAUGUCCAACAUUGAGUCAGGCCAUGGUUGAUCUGUCACCAAUGACUCCUCAAUGUCUAGUGUUUUUGUUAAUAGAGGAUUCUUAAUAAUAAUUUUAUUGAGACUUGAAAGGAUCUCACUAUGAUCAAAUUGUGAGAACGUGAAAUCUGCAUCUACCAGACAUCCGCGCUGACAAAAAAGUUUAUAGUUCGAAAUCACAUGAAAAGUAGUUUCUCCAGUGUCAUCCUUUAGAGGCCGCAUCGCCCACCAAAAUUGACAUCCGACACCUUCCGUAAAUUUCAUGAUAAUUCGAACUCGAUUUCCAAAUCCUUCUGCAAAUAUAUCACAAUAAAUCUUCGGACGCUGGAGGAAUUUUAUGCAGUUCAAUAGGCUUUGUUGCAUUGGAUUUGGACAUGCAGAAUCAACCAAUGGUGGAGCCUUUGGACAUUUUGUCUGUGAAAACUGCUCCCAAACCUCCCACCAGGUUGUAGGCAGGGAACUGCUGCCACUUGAUUCACCGGAGCCUAAUCCAAUGCAAUCAUUGUCUUCAUUCACGAAAUUAAUCACAUAAUGGAAACUACAAUCUGCGGGCAGUAAACCCAUAUAUUUGAGAAUUUCGCUACUUAGCCAUAUUUUUCUAUCUUUUUGAGCUUUCGCUAGAGAUUUAAACAUACAUUUAAACAGAAAAUCUUCCCCAGCCGAACGACUACUAAAUGCUCGGCUAAGUGCUCUCCCCUUUAGGCUUUGUAUCAUUCUAUCUCUCGUCAUCACUCGAUCAAACCCGAGACUUGACAUUGUUUCACGCUUUUCCGAUGUAGCCAUUCCCAAGUUUUUAAUUAGUUUCAUGCUUCGCAUUUUACUUCUAUUGACUUUUUAAGAAAGAGAUUAUUAUUCCUUUUCUCUUCUGCUAUGUCGAAGAGAUUUACUUAUUUGCCGCUCCUUGGCUGUCAAACCUUCCAAUUCUAAUUUCUAAUUCCAAAUCCCACCCCCAAAGACAAGCGGCGAUGAUCCGUACAUCGAACGCCUGUUUUGAGAAGAGGGCAUUGCUAGGAUGGUUUGAUCGAGGGUCACGACCUGACUAGACCCACACAUCCUAGCAACGUGGACUAUCCUACUGAACUAAUGAAAGAAAAAUGACACGAAGAUCGACAUGAGCUAGAUAUGGAUGUAUCAAGCCUUUCCUUAUGUUCUCUCAUACAAUGAACCUCGCAUAGGAAGGGAUUACUUAACCACGUAACUAUACCCACUCGGGAUAGGUGUGAACGCAUUCACACAAUCCGGGAUGAAUAAAAAGAAUAUCUCUAGCAAGGGAAUGUGCUUUCGAACUCAAUCGAAUUCCCAACACUAGCCUGGUGAACUAGUGUCAUCAUAUGCAUUUCCAGGAUUAGGAUUUGGAAGAAAAGAAUAGGAACGGAACAGCGGAACAGCGAUAGCGAAUCGGAAUAGGGAAGGCGAAGUAGGUUUUAAAGCAAAGGGGAUAAGCUGGAUAAAAACCAAAAGGACAGCAGCCCCGCAGGGCAAACGAACUGGCGAACUGGUUUAAAAACUAGGGAAAGUCCAAGUGGUAUGAAUCAAAGUUUGCUCUAAAGCUUAGUACCUGUCCUUUGCGGUCUAAUCGGAGCUUAGGAAUGAAUAACUCACCCUAUCCUUUCAUAUUGAUAAUCGUAAAGCGUAUAGUACUCAGGCUUGAAAUCGGAAGUGUUUAGCCAUUCCGAGGCCCGUUUGCGAUGGUCCAAAAGCCGGCCCUCAAGCCUCUCUUAGGUUCAAGUUUGAAUCUAUUCGCUCCGCCGUCUAGUUAUCCACGAGCAAGGUCUCCCUACUUGAAUGUGUGAUGUCCGUAGGGUAUCAUCGUAGUUCAAGCAUGUGGGUGCCUAUGUCUCGUUGUGUUAAGUCAAACACGAGAGUAUAGCCUAGAUGCUAGGAAGAGGAAGACUCUCCUCGGGGAGGAGAGGCUUUCUCGGAAGUAGGGUAUUCUAGGGAACCGUACCUGUUUUCCGACCCGAACCCUUAGCCGCCUUCCUAGGAAACGGACUAGCUUCGCUCGAGGAUAGGAAUAGCUCUUGCGCUAGGAAUUGAUCGCCCCUCGCUAUGGUACGAGACCUCCACCAAAAGCAAGUAUUGGAACCUUACCUCCAAUGGGAAACCGAGGAAAAACAGAUACGAAUCUUUGAACGGAAGCCGAGUAAAGGCAGUUCAGCUUCGACCUUUGCUUUGAACUGGGGGUAGCAUUAUCAAAAACCAUUGCUCGUAAAAGGGAUCUCUCUCCUAAAAGGCAUAUCUCGUACGCUAGGGAAUGUGCUUCGGCUUCUGCCUUGUCCCGAGCGCACCCUAGAGAAUUUAUUUAAGCAAGUAUUGGCGUAGGAGGAGCUCGUUAGCGUACUAGUCCUGGGGCAAACCCUUUGCUUCAAUUGAUGAUUCGUAUUAACGCUCUAGCUCGUCUCUAUCGCUAGGUCUAGGAAUAGCUCUAGCGCAAUCCGAUCUGUUUGGAGGGGUGUUCCGUUAUUUCCGUUAAGCCGUGUAGCAAUCCGAUGAAACCUUAGCUAAUGUGCUUUGCCCGAGGAUACGAUGCAAAUAGCAAGUAGAGGCAACCGUUCCUGUGUAUUAAUCCCUGGCCGUUGAUUUGAUUGGUUUUAGCCGUUGGAAGUUGCAAUUCCAACUAUUUAAUUAGAUUUAUUGGCGUACGUGGAUAGCACUAGGUAAAAAUAGCUCGUAUAAUCUCUAGCUCGUAGGCCAGAACUAAAAGGGAAAGCGACAGGUCUAGCUCGAAUAGCGCUAAUUCGUAUUUAGUAUUUACAACGUAGUAUUUAACUAAAUCGUCUUGUUCGUAGGAUUCGUAGCGUCUUGGUUUCGAUCAAUGUCAUUUCUCAAAUCUAGGAUGGGCUUGCCAUAGGAGAGGUGGGAGCCGUUAGCCGUUCUUGGGAUUACCGGUGCCCAGGAAAGAAUGGAUGAAGCAAUGCCGGUACUAAAUUGAUCAAACAUGAUGGUGAUCUGCUACCCACCUACUCUAAUAGAAGCACUACAGGGGUAUCAACUAUUGAAACAAAUGCUCAAACCAACUAUUCAAAUAGCAGGCUUUAUCUUUCUCACUCGUCGUUUCGUUGGUCUUUUAUUGGUCAUUGAUUGUUUAGUCUCGUGGAAGCAACCGAUGCUUUGGUCAUUCGACUCCUUGAUGCCAGUCUGUGCUUGCUGUCAUGCUGGCAAAAGCGGGGGUUUCGGCCGGUUUUACCUACUAUUGGAUUUGAACCAAUGACUCUCGCCGUAUGAAAGCGAUACUCUAACCGCUGAGUCAAGUAGGUCAAGCUGAGUCAAGUCAGAGAAAAUCGAAAAAAAGAGAAAGCCAACCAAAGCGCAACCAGAGUUCCCCGCGGGGUGGAGCGCUAAGAAAGAGAAAGCGUUAUCGCUAUACGAAAUGAAGCAGCGGCUAGCACGCUAAGAUAAACCACUUGGUUUAGGCUCCUGCUUAGUGGCGUGUGAUUUCAACACUAUUCCAGAGGUAUAUGACAAAAAUGGUGGGAGAGACCUCUAUGUUCCUCAGCUUAAAUCAUUCUAAGAUUGUUUACAAUUCUUUCAUCUAUUUGACAUGAGGGCUAGAGGGUGGUCUUGGAGCAAGAAAAGUGUUGAGUCCAGGCGCAUUAUGGUACGACUGAGACUGAGUUGGGCAGGAGCAAGCGGUUGGAUUGGCCUGACUCUUCAAGACCAAAGAUACUCGGCUUCCUCUUCAUCAAGUCACGAAAUUCGACCCUUAGUUAGCUGCACCAAAACUAGAGUAGGGCCAAGCAAAGCCUAGGAUGAAUCUCUCUUCUAGUCUAGCUUCCGCUUACACUGAAGCUUCCACUCCCAUAUGGGCAAGAAGAGCUCCUUCUCUUUUUGCCAAAGCAAAGACUCGCCUUUCUUCUUUUCUGGCGGGAUAUGAAGACGGAAGCAUGAGGACUGAGAUGAAUAGCCCAUCCUUUAGUGAGCUGCUGAAAGACGUGCUGUUAGCCAACGCGAGUCAUCAGUAUGCAGGGAAUAGGGUAGGUUAGCAUAUAUAAAGGACGUGAGAUUGAAGCAAGAAAAUCUCUUCCUUCCCCUUCCUAUGCAAGCCUGAUUAGCUAAUGGAGACAGAACGGAGUCAUUUUCCCUAUAGAGCGAUAGACAGAACCAAGGCGAAUCUCUCUGUUAGACAUGAUGACUACGUCAUGUUUUCUUUUGCUGGAAAGCAUCCACUCGGCCUUCUUCCCCAGUCUACCACUGAUGGCAGACUAAUCCCUCAAUAUGAAAACAAUAUCAAAGCGAGGACAGAGUCUUUGAUCUCUGUUUUCGAACCCGAGACCUUUUGCUCAACCGUGAAAGGCUUUGACCAUUCCCAAGAAAAAAAAGAAAAAUCUAUCAUCCAAUUUGAUCUCUAAGAUAGACAAAGUCUGGUUCACCAAAGAGCCUUAUCCUACGUCACUGCCUCGUCAACCUGACUUCCAUCUCCUGACAUCGGUACUUGUUUUCUAGUUUGCCCAGGAAAAGUGGAAUUGAAACCUGCCGCACGCGUUCAAUAGUAUGCGCAGCUGCUGGUCUUUCACUUGGAAUGGAACAGGUAUAUCUCUUUGGCCCGGGGAAUCCCAAACAAAAUGUCGUCGGCGUAUCGCGCAUAGUAGAUCCUGAGUGACCAUUAGCAGCCAGCCAGUGCCAUACCAACUCUGCCUCACCAGCCAGCGAGCGUAAGAAUGGAGCGAGCGAGCCUGCAACUAUGUAGCGAGCCUAUUUGAAAUGAUGCCAGACAUUGCAAUGAAAGAAAAAAACUUUCCUGUCUGUGUUAUAGCUAGGACUUGGAUGUUCCGGAAUCCUCUUGCCGAGCUGGAACGACCCAUCUCCUAUUUCUGCUUCCAACGCCUACACGUUGAGUCUCAGUUACUCGAGAAAGACUUAUUCAUAGUGGAGAUAGUCAACCUCCACCAGCAAGCAGCACCGGAGUGAAUCCUUUCGAUCUUUUUUGAGAGGGAAAAUGAUAAUGAAAAAGGAGAAAAAAAAACGCUGAGAGACACAUUGCAAAAAGAAUCGCUUAUUUCAAUGUUGUAAACUAGUGAGUGGUACAGGAGUUAUGUGGUCAGUAACCCUCAUCCUAAUAGGGACACCUUGAUUAGUGAGGUCAAGAAUAGGUUUCUGUGCAUCCAAAUCUGUAACCCAGUUGAUGAAUUAAGAAAAUGACAUCAGGUUGGAUCUGUAAGGGAGUAUAUGAGCAAGUUUGAAAAAGUAAAGGCCGGACUGAUCUUGGAAAACCCUAAUCUUACUGAGAAGUUUUUCUUUUCCUCUUUCUAAGUGGUUUAAAGGAGGAAGUGAAGUAUAUGGUCACUGCUCAAACACCCUAAUAGUGUGAACAAGGCUUAUGAACAUGCUAUGCACUAUGAGUUAGCACUUGAGUCAGCCAGUAAGAAAUCUAGAGUGGUACCUAGGUGCAGAAUUCCGAAAGAGAGAGCGCGGCUCACUUCAAACUACCGCUUUCUUUCUACUUAUGAGAUUUGCACUAGAAAGACAGAAGUGGAAAGAGACAGAGAGGAGACUAGUAAAGCCAAUUUCACCUAAAAAGCGGAAAAUGACACUAACUUCUACUGUGGGCAAGUCAUCAUUUCCAGAAUGGAUUCAGUCGUAGAAUGCUGAAGUAGAGCAGUACCAAGGUUCGGUUUUGGGACAGACAGAAAGUUGGAUAAGAGGAUCGUUCUUAGCCCCAGCUACGAGAGAAUAAUAUGCAUCUUCCGUCAUUUCAUUAGACGUUCUUGUUGGAUUUGAACGCGCAUCGGAUUACUUACCUUCUACAACCUUCUCUCUUUGAAUUCAUCUCUAAAAAUAGAAAAGCUUCUUUCUUCUGGAUUCAGUGUUCAGAUUAGCUUCCUUCCGAAAGCAAGUAUACCGAGCAUUCAUUCGAUGACAUCUAGGUCCUAAAUCCAAAACCUUAAACACUAGAUCACCGGCAUACCUAGCGUAAAAGAAGAGUUGCUGCCCAUUUGCAUGUUCCAUUGCUUUUUCAAGAGCUAGGUCUAAUGGAUUCAUUAAUAAUGGUGAAAAGGGCUCCCUCACACUCAUCUGCCUUUCCCUUCUUCUACCCGCAAUCAAUGUUUAGGAAUUUUCCCGGCUCCCACUUUUCCACUUCUUCAGUCGGCUCACUCAUUUUCUUUUCCUUCUGCUUGGCUUCGGGGGUCUAACGGUUUACCUUUUCGCCUUCUCUUGGUUCGUCCCAUGGAUCCUCUUAUAUCACCUCUUCCUUCUCAACUGCUGCCACAUGCCCCUUCUUCCCCUUCAGAGACAUCAAAUAACAUUCCCUCGCCAUUUUAUGGUGACCGGACUCUACUCCCACUCCUGCUUCCGUUGGGAUAAAUUUCAUCAUCAGAUGGGAUGUAGAUACUACCGCCCCUAUCGCAUUCAACGUUCCUCGUCCCAGAAUCGCAUUAUACGCCGAAGGAGCGUCAACUACCAGAAAGUCUAUCAUUGCCGAAGACCGGGCCGAACUCGACCCUUAGGGGAAUUUUGCCUAACGGUUGCAGAGUAUCUCCAGUGAAUCCCACUAGGGGUGUUCGUACCUGACCUAGAUGACGCAGCUCUAGGUUCAUUUGAUCGAAUGCUCGUUUGUAUAAUAUAUCCGCCGAACUCCCUGUAUCAACCAAAACACGUUUGACUCUGUUUCCUCCUAUUUUCAGGACAAGAACUAUCGCAUCAUCAUGAGGUCGCUGUAUGCCCUCAGAAUCUUGAUCCGAAAAGCUGAUCACGCUACCUUCCCUUGGCCUUUUCUUGUCGACCUGAAGGAUGAUCGGGAACUUCAUUUUGGUGCUAUACUGUCGCCGUCCUUUGUUCGUGUCCCCUCCUGACGCUAUCCCCCCAGCGAUUACGUGAAUUAUAGGGGGGCUCUAUGGAUAUUGUUCGUCUCCUUUCCUUCUCUUACCUUAUUAUUCGGCCUACCUUGUCCCGGGGUCCCUAUUUCCACUGCGGGGGUCCUUCAGGCCUCUUUCAUCCAGCCUUCCUGUUCCCUUGCCAUUCACAUACUUUUUGAUGAACUGAUAUAACUUCCCCAGCCGGGCUCUUCUUUCGAGCUCAUCUUUGAGUUGCAAGCACUCUAUUUUGGUGUGACCCGGACUUUCUUUAUAUUCACAAUACUUGCUCGCAUCUCUUAUUUCAUGCACUUCCAACGGCCUCGGUCGUCGAAGAUCAAAGUCGCUUCUAUGCCGAAUUCUUCUCCAAAUUUCAUCCCGGUUGAAUUCGGUGUAUGCGGGAAAUCGUCGCCGAUACUCUGUGGGGCUAUCCGGUUUGCUCGCUCCGCCCUUUCACUUACUUCGAAGGGGAUCGCAGACUACUUUCUUUGGGGCUAUGCUAACUCAUAGCAGCACCUAUCACUAGAAACUCUUUCAUUCCUCACUAGCAGUUCUUUGGAACUAGUUCCGUAGUACCUGUAAGAGCAGAACACUUCCCUCCACUCAUACUCUUUACCUGUGGGGCUGUAUGGUACUUUAGCUGGACUUUACACCAGCUCUAUUCACUGAUAGCGUUACUGGCUCUUUUCCAGCAUUUCUUGAAAGCAGCUCGCACUCACCGCUGCGCGCCUAGUUAGGCUUUGAAAUAAUAGGAACAAAGAUCUUCCGCAAUCAAUGUUGUACUCAAAUCCUCUCUGGCCGGAGAGGGGGAUCUCUUAAGCAGAGUAUUCCGAGUCUAGGGCUAGCGGAAGCGUUGAAGAGGGAUAUCGUUUUCAAAGAAGGCAUGGGGUCCUUUCGUCUUUGUAGAGACUUUCACAAUAUACCAGUGGAUAAUACCAUCCAAGAGAGAAGGCCCAUAAAAAGAAGCAGGCAACAAAACAUCUUGAUUUAUAGGAAUCAACGACCUCGCCACUGCAAAGGAGGAAGUCGAAUGAUUUGGAUUCGGAUAGGCUGUCUCGACAGUAAGAAAUCGACAUCAUCAUCUGUCUUUCAUGAUGGUGGGAGGCAAGAUUUCGUGGUCAAGCACAAACCAAGCAUAAGUGGAUAGCAACUUAUACUAUGGAGGCAGAGUCUCCUCCCCUCAUUUCGCAGCUUCUUUGCUCUGAUCCUGAUCUCUCUUUCGAAAUUGCUACAUGAUUUGUGAAAAGUGAACAAAUAGGUCAGCCACAUAAAGAAGAAUAUGGGUGGUGUAAGCUUUCCCGCCUGAUCUUUACCUAAAAAAAUGGAAGUAGCUCGAUUCCAGUAUCAAGGAAAAUGGGUUGUAGAAAUCUUCUUUGAGAAAAAGUUAAACACUAGGUUCAUCUUUUUAGUAAUACUUUAUAAGCAUGGAAGACCCUAGCAACGUUAGGUAUUACUAAAGAUGAAGAUCGAAGUCCAUCCAAGUCUAGAAGUAAGCCCGAGACAAGUGAACAAAGGCUGGCGUAAGCACAAGGGCGAGCUGAAGAAAGCUUUUGAAGAAAUUGGUUCUGACGUCGAAGAUAGGCUAGCUAGGACUGAAGCUUUGAAGCGGAUUGGUACUGCUUUUCCUUUGGGCUCAGGCAUGGUUGACAAGCGGGACUUUCCCUUUUUGUUUCCCUUCGGAACUGGAACUACUGCUGGAGCAUCCAAUUCGUCAGUUACUGGCAUGUCUGUGGUGAAAGCACCUUUUUUCAAAGCAAAGGCGCGCUGCGUUUAAUUAAAUAAUGGGCAAAUCGGGAGUUUGCAAGCUACGAACUUACUUGUGGUAGUGUAGAAGAAGGUCCGGCAUAUCGAGGAAUAGGAGCCACACCAACCAUGAAUGGUCGAAUCGUCGAGUAGUAAGUAGUAGGGGAAGUUAAUCUUCUUCUUUUUUCGAAGCUGUCGGUUCAUCCUAGUUUUUGGUGAGUACUUCUUUUUCCAAUCCAUCCUUUCCCUUCGCCAGUCUUAGUUCUUAGAAAAUCAAGUAAACCACUGCCCGGGAUUUCUUUCUGGGGCUCGCCCCAUCCUAUAAUGUUUCACACACCAGAAAAAACCAGAACGAAGCAAGCUUCAUGCGUGGUACCAGAUAGAUGUCAUCAAAGACAGAUCACUGAUUCGGAGACUACCUAAUAGUAUGAUCUAUAUCAUCCAGGUGGAGUAUGCUGGUGGAGAAAUGCGCAGCGGAAAAAGGGAGAAAUGUUCUUUCCAAUGAAGAAGGCCACUAAGGUCAAAGAAAACAUACACGCCAAGGUUCGCUUCUAUAGAUGUUCCUGAGUUUUCCUACAAAUAAUAGUUUUUUAAGGGUGGAAUAUCUGGUCAAUCUCCAUCUCUUUUAUGGCAGAUUCUUUUUUCGAGGACCUGGCGACAACUCUCUCUGGACGGUAGGGGAACCCCAGUGAAAUCAGUAAUCAACGCACUCCCACUCCUCUUGCUCCAAUUCCCUCUCUUCCUGCUAAAGCUCCAACUUAUCCAGACUGGUCAACAAUUCUUCCUUUGUUCUCCUAAUCUCCCUAUUCACAUAUGCCUAUUUCUCUAAACCUAGUCCUAUUACUGGCAUAUCUCUCCCGGUGCUCGCUUAUCCCUAUUCCGUGCAUACCUGUCUCUUGCAUACAUAACUUGACUUUCCCAUGCCCACUGAAUGCCUAUCUGUGAAUCCCUUUCCAUGAAUGCCACUCUUAGGCUAUUGAAACCAUAUCUCGCCUAUUUUUAGUAGCUUACUCGUUCAUACCUAGCACCUGUUUCUCAACGUUACACAUACCUUGAAUGCCAACCAACAACUUGUUGACCUAACCAGAUGCCUAUACCGGUACGUGCUUCUUUGUUAAAUACUAUCCCUCUAAGCUAUUCCAUGCCUUUCUGUGAAAGCCUAUUCCUUACUUAUACCAUACAUGCCUCUUUCUAGUCCUAUUACAUACACAUAUUACACCGCAUCUCCUUCCUCUAACAAAUCAAAAAAUCCAUCUCUUCUCCCACUCCGUCCGGGUUUUGCUUGACUUAUCACGCAUGCAUACUUGAAAUACUUUACUUAGCUUUCUAAACCGGUACUACUCAACCUAUACCAUUGCUUCUCCGUGAAUACAUACUUGCCUAGCUAACUACCUUAAGAAGUAUUAAUCACAAGCAAAUGCCUAGCUAGCUAAAACAACCUAUCCAGAUGCAUAUCUCGAUACCUGUUAUUCCGGUCGGUGCUUCUUUCAAGGGACAACCUCUGCUCGUGGUUCAUAUCUUGCUAGCUCUGUCCCAAGCUCCUCUUUCUAGUAGCCCUACUAAACCUAUGAGUUGACUCGUACAUACUCACUUAUUCUUUACUUAUCUUAUCUGUGACUGCAUAUUCCUAGCAUUGACCUAUUUAAUAUGUCUCUAUUGGCUAAACAAUAGCCCUUGUAAAAACAACUAUACCUGUCUCUGCCCGUGAAAACGAAAAAACAAAUCAACUACGGCUCCCUCAACGUACUCACUUGUUGACCUAUCCAGCUUAUCCAACUACUUGACCUAAACCAUAUGGAUAUACCGGUACUGCACCGUUACGCAAAAAUGAACUCCUUUUUAUAGUGGGCCUAUGUCUUGUAUCCGUUACUUGGUCGUUCAAAUCACACAACCCAUACCUAACUCCUGUUUAGAAACCUGUGCUUGCCAGCUUAUCCUUUUUAGAAAUAUGCCUAUUCCUUUCCCUGAGCAAGGUAUAUAGAGGUAGUCACUCAUUGCCAGAACUACUACUAAAUGCCAAUGCUAGUGCUAAGCUUCAAGUACUACUCAGAAAUCUUAUGCAUAGGAAAUCCUAUCUAUAUAGAUAGUGGUUUCGUUAUCCUCAAGUCACUCCUCUUUCCUACUUUCGUUAGACUUCUAUCGGGUAGCUGCUUACACCUACUUUCCUAUUAUCUAUUGCUGCUACUCCCUAUGUUUCCUAUUUUUGCGGCUACCUCCCUAGUGAGUGAGUCCUCCCACCCAAGCUAGAAACCUAUACCCAAGUUAACUCCUUUCUACUAUUUGUUUUCGUUCUUAUACUGAUUGCUGUUUUUCACUGUCUCCUAUUCAUGCUUAGCGCCCUGGGUAUCCUUUGAAACUAGGCCGGCUAUCAAUAGUUGGAUAUGAAGUAAGUGAAGAGCGAAGUCAUUAAGAAAGAAAAAAGGGUUUCUAAUAUUUCAGUGAAUAAGCCUGAAAGAAAUUGCACUUGUUGAGAUGGGACAGGUCAGUUUUCACUUUCUUUGAACCCGCAAAUUUGCAAUUUUUGAUUCUUCAUACUGGCAUGCCUGACUUGAAUUAUGCUUAAUUAGCACUCAUCGAGUUUGAGCUUUCUUGAAGUUUCAAUAUGUGCAGUUCAGGCUUGAGACUGACAAGAGUCAACGUGAACGAAAGAAAAACAAAGCCCAUUACUCGAUUAGGGAGAGGUUAUAAGCCACUGCUCUAUUCCCGACUCAAAAUCCAUAGAGGACUUGUUGGGAUAACCGCUCUCUCUAUCUCAGCUGUUAAAAAGACUACCGGCCGGCGCAAGAGGGACUUUUCUCGUUAGCCUACUUCUCAUACCGAGUUCAUGUCUGUUUUUCCAGGAUAUUUAAAAGUCGUACCCGACCCGUAGACUUGUGAAAGCAGUAGCGUUAAGUCAGAGUUUAUAAGGUAUUUUUCUAUGGUAAGGAAGGAGCUGCUCAUUCCGCGAUUGACAAAGCUAGAACGAGCUCUCUCUUACUUAGAAAGAGUCUCACAUACCUGGUAGAUGUGUGCAUUUUACCUAUACCCAUACCUCUUCUAUCUAUGCUCCAAGCAUGAUAGCAAUUGCAUUAUGCUAUUGGUGCUUCUUUCUCACCCGCAAUCGGCCCGAGAUGGGAGUUGGAGGCAAGUGUAGUUUCUAAAAUUCCUUACGUUAACGCAUAUCAUCAUGGGGAAUCGAGUGAGUUCUUCGGGUCGACGGACAAGAGGACCUUUUCAUUCUUCCCUCCUAUCCUUCGGCGAUUGAGAAUCUAAUUUAAGAAAAGAAACUUGCUUGUGGGACUCCGAGCGAUACCCUCCUCUCCUUUCCUGAUCCUUUGCUUUACAUCACCUGCCCUCUCGUUGUAGUCAAGGGAAGAAGAAGAUUGGUGUGAUAAGCCAGGCAAGACGUUGGUUUGAAAUACCCUAAGUAAAGAAGGCAUGCCCGAGCAAUGAAAGAAACCUCUCAACUACAGCUUUGUGAGCCCAAAAUCUGCAAUCUUAGGUUCAAAAUCACUCCCCAACCAACCCACCGAACUAACUCCAUACGUUCAUCAUUCUGUACGCCUAUCUUAACAAAGGGCUAGGCCAGACCCUCUAAACUAAGUGUCUCUUCGCUAGAGUCAGUCCUGAUCAAAAGGAGUCCUAUAUGAAGGUUCAGUCUCUUUGCCCUCAACCAAGUGAGAAUUUAUUAUUUAAUAAGCAUAAAACGAGUACCCGGCAGGAAGUGAUAAAUUUCAUCUUUUUACGGCAAAUAAAAUGCCUUCUCGAUCAUGGUCCCCAGCGGCAACUCCCCGGCAUAAAAAAGAGUACGAUCGGAAAUUAAAUUCUUUCUAUUCAUUAUGUAAGAAAAUCAAUCUUUCACUCAGACCUAUUAGGUUUUUAUGGUCUGGAAGUCAAGCGUUCGUUUGUCAAACUACUCAAAAACGUUAUGGCAAACCUUGUUGGCUGAUUCUUUACUUGCCUUUGAGGCUUUAGCUAGCUAUAUCCAUCAACUGAGUCAUUUUAGACUGUUGAGAAAGAGUUGGCUCACAGCAGUUCCAAUGAUUCAGUGGAACGCAGAGGUCGUAUACCGAAUGUCCCGUCAGGGCAGAAAUUCCAUGCUAUGCUCUACAGUAGGCUACUCACCUUGGCUCAUAGUUCUAUACUGAGAGAAUUCUCCUCAAUCUACUACUUCAGACUUCAAUAGAUCGAUUCCUACGGCUACCUACAAUUUUGGAUAUUGUUUUCUAUAAAGAAAGAUCAAAGCCUUGGCCGCCCAUUAUUUGAGCAUGACUUGGCUCCGUAAAUCCACUGGCAAACGUUUCAGAGUAGUAGUCAACCCGAUAGGAAAGCUUUUUCAAGUGAUUGUGAAAUCAGAAACGAGCCCCCCUUCCCAAGCAUUCUCGGCAUAAAUUCAAUAACUCCAGUGCGGCUUGGCACACUCAACCGCUAAUCUCAAAGAGGAUCUCUUCUGGGGCUUUCGAACUAUCAGUCUUGCUUUAUUUAUUAGUUCAUGGUUCAGCUAGAAUCUCUCUUCUCAAUCUCUCUUUUCCCUCUGUCAUUCUGUUGUAGGAGACUGACUGCCUGACUUCAGGCUAAAUCACCUGCAUGAAAAUGCAAUAAACCUGAGCGAUAAAUUCGACCCGGGGCCCCCUCUGGGGUAAAGUAAAGUAGAACUUGUGUAAAGGCAUUUCCCUCUGAAAUCCCAUGUAAAAUCAUACUUUGAAUCCUAUUCCACCACACAUGUAUAUCCCUUCCUGUCUCUGCUAAUCCGAAGUAUCCAUCCCUGUAGCCAUCUGCAGUAACUUUUUAUAGGUAAUCUGCAUCAUAUCCUCAUUCUCCUGUUCCCUAUCCUCAUGCUCACUAUCCUUAGUCUUAUGUCUAUCCUAGCCCUACGGAAGGCAAUCAUAUCUAUACCUAUCUUUCGCAGUCAGUAGCUGCCGAGUCUUAUCUUUCCGCUCGAGUAGGUGCGAUGGUAGCGCUGAACCGAAAGGAAACCCCAAACAUACGAACUAUUUUGACACGACUUUGAUUUCCACUAUAAAGAGCGGCAUCCCCGUCUCGGUGUCGUUCAUCUCUUGCCGAAUAUCCUUAUAUAUUUUUCGUGUGUGGUGUGACCAGGGGUGCACCACUAAUAGAGAACAUGGCCCCAAUGGCAGGGGAAUGCUUCUCGAAAGAAGACCCGUUCUUCUUUCUUGGAAUGGGCGUCGCUUGCCGCAUCAAAAGCUGGAACGCACCAACGUAUGGUGUCUUUGUGAAGUUGGAUCAUUCACUGAGGGAAAUGCAAGCAAAUCCGUCAAGUCAUUUCACAAAGCUAGGGAAUGUGACAGAAGAGGAAUAGGCAAAGUGAACUGGCUGGUGAAGGUCUGUACUAGUAGAGCGGUCUGCAUGCAGGAUGUAGCAGGAGAAGAAUCGUCAUCAUAAGGGUAUUCACUAGGUUAUGCCAGCCCAGUCAGCAUCGGCAAAUGCCUGAAGUGAGAGGGAAGAAGCCGGAAGAAGAAGCGAGGUGACAGUGGGUAGCCCUGCUUGAGUCCUCUUCUACAUCUUGAGUACUUCCCACUCCAAUGGAUCUAGUUUUGAGAAUAGCUUUGAUCCGGCCAUGUAGAGCACUCAUAGAGGUCCGGCUUCACGUCAGUAAUCUACCACACCCACGCUGGAAUUCAGUAGAGUCCCACGAGUCAAUCGACAAAAGCGAGAAACGAGCGACAAGGCUACGGUCUAACUUUUUCUUCCUAGCGGAGUUCAAUACGAAAAUAAAGGCGCUCCGCGUUGGGAAUGGCGUACGUAGUACGGGUGGUAUUUCCGGUAUAACUGAUCAGGGUUGUUCUGAAAGCAAGUCAAUUGGUGCUUUGGAAAGUGAGUGCCAGAGGCUAGUCACUGCUUGGUUUACAGAAGGGAAGGAAGAAAGAGAUACCGAAGCAGAUUCAGUAUAGAAAAGAAGAAAUUGAUACCAUUCAUUCCAGCUUAUUUGAUACCCACUUCAAGUUUCUAUCAAACCAUGUCUUUUUCUUGUCAAUCUCGUAGGAAUUUCGAUUGGAAGUGUGGUAUUGAAGGGCGAAGCCUUUACUCUUUGACUUGUUUCUUUGAAUAUAACUGAAUAUAACAUAGUAUUGACUACGCACUUCGAAAGAUAAUGGUGUAUUCCGAGGAUCAGUCCGUUUUUUAUUGAAUUCGCAAAUUGAUAGAUCUGGAUGAUUAAAAGAAUGAUUCUUCCCUGGGUAUUUCCCCGCUACCAUUAUUGAAAUUGGAGCUUUUCAAUUCCAUUUUGGAGAUUGAGGGUUUAAGACCGCUCGUAACGAUUUUUUUCUUUUUAUGGCUGGGUGGGCAAGAAAAGGAUUUGACUCUUGAAGAUAUCAACUCAUACGCCUGCUCCAUACAUUAAAAAACAUUUUGGGUACUUUCUAUGCUAUGAGAAUGGAUAAAUAGAAAUGGGUACAUUCCUCUUUCUCUUUCCUGGCCAAACUACCCAAAAAAAAGAAGAGAGAGAGCUGUAAGAGCGGUAAAAGCAAGCUCGGUGGCCCGGUUCACUACAGGUUGAUGUAUCCUUUUGAAAGAAAAGUCAAUCCUCUCUAAAAAAUAAGCACUUCAACAAGUCAGGGCCCUUUUUUAUACAACUCCUAUGCGUAAUUGAUAGCUUUUUGGUAUUCUCCAUAUAUAUAUACUACUAGGUACGAAAUAACAGGAAAGAUAGAAAUAGUGACUUUGGCUUCAAAUAGAGAGCAGCUUAAAGGGAACUCGCACUGGAGGACUGCUCUGAAAAAAUAACUGAACACUGGCUAGGAACUGGGCUGCACUAAGCCCGGCACUUUUGGGGCUUCUUCAUGAAUCUAGUUUUCAGGUAAGGUCAGAUCAUCUUAUUGAAUAUAUAUCUGAAAGAAAGCAAAGGAAUGAAUCGUUUUUCCAAUUACCUUCUCUCGAAAACCAUAGAUCUUCUGGUUACCAUUGACUAUCCGGCACUUUCGUCUGUAGAGCGAAGCAAGAAAUUGCAUGGAAGGGCUUGCCCUGCUAAUAUCAGCCUUGUUUGGAACAAUAGAUGCAAUCCAUUUCAGUGUAUGUCACUGAGUUCACCAUUGCAGUUGAGACGUCAGGCAAUUGAGCGUUCCCUAGAGUUUGGUUCAAAGGCUAACUCCCCGCUUCUCAAAACAAGGCAGAUUAAGGGCUAAAGCACUCCAUCUUUUUCGUAGAUAGUCUGAGUUCGAGCUACUGGACUGGCUUCGGCUUCUUCCUUCGAGUUAGAGUGCCCAAUGCUAAUAUUCUCAAAUGCCUUAACCGUAAUGGGAGUGGCACAUUCGUUUAGACUUCAUCCUAUAUACGCUUAUGGACAGGCAGAAAUGAACGGAUACCAUUCUCCAGAGAUAGUAGCUUAAUUAGCUUAGGUUUCAAUCCUAACGCACGAGAAGAAAAACGAAAAGCAUGGGACUUCCAGUACGAUAGGGCCGGACCUCAAUGGUCCUUUAUGUCUGAAGCGGAUGUGGGCGUGGUCAACCGAAUCUGAGCCGUGUGCACUGCCAGGCGUCGGAACGCUAAUCGGAGCACAUAGAGUGGGCGGUGGCAAAGCAGUCAUCGCGCGUGUGUGUAUCUCUCCCCGAGAAGAGGCGCAUGGGGUAGCGAGGCGUGUUUCAUCAAAUGUGACAUGUCUUGAGAUGAGCUGCGUGCGGGGAUCAUAACAGCAGUACCCCUUGUGCUGAUCACUAUAGCCAACGAAAAUACAUGACUUUUUUCUCAAAGGAUUGACUUUGGCCACACCGUCUUGAUCAAAGAGCUCGGGUUACACAAAUCUCCCUUCUUUGUGUACUGGAACAGCUACCACUUCCUUAGAACAGCACUAACUUACCGCUCUAUACUAUAUAAAAAUAAAAGAAAGAGAAUAGCUCCAUAACAAACAAAAUAGUGAACUGCCAUGAAUUACACACACGCUAGUAGUGGCUCGGCUAGAGGACUACAGCAGCCGAAGCCGUGAUUUGUAUGGUAUGUCUUGCCCUCAAUGUCCGGUUGGUUGGUAAGUCACUAAAUCCCUAUCUCCCGGUGGUCGAGUACCCCCGACGCGUCGAAUGGGUUGUUUAGUCUGACUUCUUGUGUUGGCCCGACAUCAUUCUGUCUCCCGCAUUCUCUCCUUUCAUCGGUUUGUUUUUUUUACUUCGCUUCGCGAUUAGAGUUGUACGCAUCAUGCAUGGGAAUCCUUCCGUCCUUGAUGUUAACGCUCUCGUGCUGACUGUAGGUCCCGGGUCAAAGGCAUCUCGAAGGAAGCUGCUCCGCAUAGCAUAUGCGAUCACCACACCUCCAUGUACCUACAGAUGAGGGCUCCAACGCCUACUGUACAAUCAUGUGGGAAGUGCAUCCUGCACACCAGAAAGUCAGUGGCGUACGCCACACCCCCUCCCCCUGU